rnacentral:lncRNA from 1 species
CACCAACAUCCACUGUCUCUAUCCUCUUGAAACUUCGGCAACCUUCAACCACCCCUAUUGCCGUAAGUGAACAAAAAGAAAUGUCUAUUAAUGAUGGCAUCAAUGAUCAUGAAUGCUGCCGUGAGGUAGCAAAUCAAUCACCCCUCCAUCUAAGUCAAAACCGGAAUCAACCACUAGAGGAAGGGGAAGAAAGCCGUGCUCGAGACGAGCCGGCUGUCAUGAACUCACCAGCUGACGGUAAUGGCAGCCAGCCACCACCGGCUCCUCCCCUCGCUUGCAGAAAUGAACCUCUCUUUCUUAGGAGAUCUCAAAGGCAAACUCGUUCAAAGUACAGGAGUCAAUCGCCAGCCAUCCAACCCCAACAGCCACCAACUUCCGCAAACACAGCCAAUCAACCGCCAUCGUCAUCCCAUCGACAGCCAACUCCAACCUUAACUAGCCAUGACCACCUUCUAACCAUCGAGCCAUCAUCACCUUCAAAUCGAACCAAGCCUUCAUUACCAUCAAACCGACCCAAGCCUUCAUCACCAGACUUGGUGAAUGGGACUUCAUCACAAUCCAACCAGCUACCAACCUCUAGCCCGCAGCCAACACAAGCCACGUAUAACCACUUGGGAGAUGCACAUCCAGCCGUCAUAGCCCCUAUGCACCCUCAAAACCAGCUCGUGCCCCAUGGCCAUUUGACUCAAGAACAGGUUCAAGAUGCAACGAUCGUGGCUAAAUCCAGUCAGCCGCAAUCGCCACCCACACAAACAACCCCACGCGCCAAAAAAUCCCAUGCAAAUCACAUGCAUGCACUCAGGACAGUGCUCACCGCCACCUGCAGCUGUUGACCACCGAAUGUCAGCUUCCCAUACAUGCAACCACCACCGAAUCCGGCCAAGGUCAGCAAACUUCCAGCCAAGACCAGCCCAAAAGUCUUCACACGUGCGGCAGCCAUGAUAUUGCUCCACAUGCACAUGAGACACUUUCGGCGGCACAUGAUUUGUGUCCCCCAUGUGCGUUCCCCACUAGCCUUUCCCACUAGUCAAACUCAAGUCCAAUCCAUUUGUUUAGAAUUCGCCCAAGUAAAUCCCAACACCCAGCCAUCGCGAAUGCCCUCUACACUCUUAUUUAAUACCCCAACAUGACCCAUUGACCCAAAAUACUACUAAGCCCACGUCUGCACCCUCUUGUGCCUCAGUUUUAAAUUUCGUCUCCAAUUUGAAUCAAAACAGGCCUACUAAAAAAUCUUUUGUGGAUAUUAUGAAUGGCCCAACCAGCUCAACGAUUGCGAUCAAGACCGUCACUUUGUUCGGGGAAGAGCCUAACGUGCAAUUUUCCACUGCAGAAAUUCAAGCGAUGGCCAUUCCUUUCAAGUUGACAUUGGUCGGUAAGUUUUCUUACAACAGGCCUAAUAUAGAAUUAAUUUGUAAUGUUUUUACUUCUUUGGGAUUAAAGGGAAUUUCCAAGGUGUCCCUACUGGAUAAUUGACAUGUGUUAAUUCAAUUGGAUGUUGAGGAAGACUACUCCCGCCUUUGGGUUAGGUAGACAUGGUACAUUAAUGAGAGUGCCAUGAGAAUUUUUAAAUGGACCACCGAUUUUCGGUGUUCCGGGGAGUCCUCUAUAGUCCCAGUAUGGAUAUCACUUCCUUACUUGCCUGUCCACUUCAUGCACUGUAAAGAAGCAUUACUUUCUAUUGCAUCAGCUAUUAGUAAGCCAUUGCGAAUUGACUAAUCUACUGCUUCUUUAACUCGCCCUUCUGUAGCUAGGUUAUUAGUAGAGUAUGAUGUGACUCAACCUCCGUUGCCACGGAUACGAAUCGGUGUGGGUGAUUCUGGAUUUUGGCAGAGUGUAAUUUUUGAGAAAAUAUCACUAUACUGUACUUCUUGCAAGCACUUUGGCCAUACCAUUGAGAUGUGUUACGUGACCAAUCCGAGGCUCUAUCCCCAUAUGUCCAUGGGGAACUGGCAGACCAAAGUAGAAAAUGGUAAGAAGUCAGGAGUUCUGCCGUCAGAUACUCCACAACCCUCAUAUACUCCACAACCCUCAUAUACUCCACGACCUGAUACUCCACAACCCUCAGAUACUCCACGACCUGAGCCUUCCAUCACUAAGUAGAUUGCGGAUGCAAGGUCUCCGAUUACCAAUGUCUUACCUAUGGAGAACCAAGCAAACAUUACAAAUUCUACUUCCGUUCAGAAGCCGAUUGCCCAGGAUGUCACGACUCAUGAGUCUAGGGUCCAAUAACCUCAGGAUCAAAGCCUUUCUCCCCUGCGGAGCAUUGGUGAGGAUAAUCCACAUCUUCAUCAAGCAUCCACAGGCUUUCGAUCUACGGUGGAUGAUAUUUACAAGAUGAUUGUGGAUGAGAGCACAAACUUUAGGCAUGUUGUAAGCUACAAUUCUCAUACUGAUAAUGAUGAUAGUUCUAACGAGCACUUGACGAAUAAUGACCACUUUUUGUUUGCACCUAAGAAUUCCGAGAGAACUGACUCUAGCCUUGAUUUUAGCGUUGCCGAUCAACAUUCGAAAAAGAAGAUUAAAUUACUUGCCGGUCGCAAGUAUCGCAAGAAAUAUUAUAACCGACUGCAUUAGUCAUUUUGAUUAUGUUUCUUACGUUAGGCUAUGCCUUAAUCAUUUCUGUUACUGUUGUACUUAUUUCUUUUGAUUUGAGGUUUUGUUUUAUGUCCUCCUCCACAUGUAUUUUUCAAUAUCUGUUCUAAAUGAUAGGUAGGGGUCCCGCCUAACCGCCCACCAAAAAAAAAAAAGAGCUCUCAUAUCAAGUGAUGCUCGUUAGCUUCAGUUUAUACUGAUAUUUCUAGAAACGCGUUAACAGAUAAUAACUAAGAGCUUGUUUGUUAAACACCUUAAGUCUAAAAAGUUGUUAAUUUCAUCUUUUUUUUUCAAAUUUGCUUGUUGGUUUUUUGCAACUUAUAUCUAAUUUUUAGAUAUUUACGUCUGGAUAAAAAAAGUAAAGUUCAGUGACUUUUAUCUGAAUGAAAAAAAGUUUGAAUAGAAAAUAAAUACUAUAUUCCAAUAAUAUCCCUAUUCAAUAUACAUAUUUCCCAUAUUAUAAAACCUAAUCCCUUUUUUACCUCUUUCUAAUUCAAGUUCAACUAUUCUUCUAUUCGUUCCCCUUUUCAUUAGCACUGAAAUUCUUCAAGUACAGCCCGUUGAAUCUCCAGUGCUAAGGUAUGUUUUUUCUUUUUUAGUUUUUACGAUUUUUACAAAAAAAUUGUUUUUACAUCAGUGCUGAUUUAUAUGUGAUUUCUUGAAUUUUAUUGAUGAAAUUGUUGCCUUAGUCGCUUACACCAUUGAUGUUGAUUGGUCGUUUUAGUUAACUUCCUGAUUUUGUAUUAAUUGAUUGUUCUCACUCUCGCUCAUGCUUGCAGAGUUGCAUAUACAUAAUAUAUACAAUAACUUUAAUUUAUUUAUCAACCUUUCUGACUACAUCAGGAAGAAGCAUUUAAAAACGUCCAUCUCUUGUCUUUUAACCUCUUGUUUAGUUUUCUUAUAUUAAUACAACUUUCAGAUUGUGCUUAUGAGUUGUUUAAUUUUGACAACUACAAUAAUUUUAGAAUAGUGAUUGAUUUGUAGAAGAAUUUAUGAUUUCCCAUUAAUAUUACUAUUAAAGUGGGAGGGUCAAAUCUCAAUUGCUUGAAGAAUUUAUUUAUUAUUAUUAAUAUUGAAGUGGGGUGGGUAGCGGACACCGGUUCACUCAAUUCGUGGGAAUUCAGUAUUACCAUCUAAGGUAGAAUUGUGGAAAAUUAAAGCCAAAUGAGAAAUAUAGAAAGGAAGGCUAAAAGUAAGGCAUGACGAAAGGAUUUGAGAAGACUGAAGACCACCAAAUAAGUCAACUGAAAGCUAGCUGGGGCCUGGGUGUAUCUGUUAGAUGUGUUUGCUAUAAAUAACAUAGAGCCCUUUUAUUAGUUAUAGUUAUAGAGACCGAGAGAGUGUGUUACCACCUUAGAUAAAUAUUGGUUUUUAGAGAGAGUGUGUUACCAACUUUUAAUAGCUACUAGUUCUAAGUUUAGGAAAUUUGAAACAUUAGAUAACUGUUAUUGUUGUCACCAAUUUCAUUCUAAAAAUAUUCGUUUUUGGUUUCUAGAAAUAGAGGACAAGAUUGUCUAUAUUGAAGAAGUCAAUAACUAUUGGCAUAAUUGUCUUCUAUUUUCAAUUCUAAUUGUAACAUGUAUAUGGCUUGAUUUGAUCAUAGAUGGCUGAAAAUGUUGGAGUUUGUAGAGCACAUUGGAGUGAUCCUAUCCAAAGAAAGCAAUUAAUUGAUCUUUGCCUCAUUGAUGUGAAUAACAGAUUUAGAUCAUGAGGAACUUUAAAGCCAAGUCUUGGGCUCGAAUUGGAGAAGAAAUAUUUAAGACAACUGAAAGAAGGUUAAAACAAAAACAAAUUAAAAAUGGUUGGGAUUAUAUGAAAAAACAAUAUUCAACAUGGAUUAAGAUGACAAUAGUAAUAGGACAUGGUUACAAUCCUGUUACCCAAACAUUUGACUGGCUAGAUGAAAGAUGGGAAGAGUACUUAAAGGUGAUAUUUUAAUUAUUUAAUUUAUUAGAAUGAGUUUAUAAAAGAUUUUAUAUUGUAUAGGUGUUAACUAUUUUUUCAUUGUUAAACAGAAAUAUCCAGAAGCUAGACAGUUUCGUUAUAAGCCUUUAGCUAAUGUCGAGGAAUUAGAGAGACAUUGUUUUCUGGAGUUCUAGCUAUUGGAUCUAAUACUUGGAGUUCUGGCAUGAAUGACUUACCAGAAAUGGGAAAUUUGUCAUCAAUAUUUGAAACACAUGUGCCUAAUGAAACUUUAAUUGAAGUAGAGGAUGAUGAUAAUAGACCUAAAACACCUGCAUCAGAUUACAACUUCGAUCAGCCAAGUAUAAAUGAGGUACAAGGUUCUAAGAAAAAACAAAAGAAAAUAAAAUUUGAUGAAACUCGUGAAGAAGUUAAAAAGUUAAUAGAGGUAUUGAAGAAAACUGAUAAUAGAGGACCUUCAAUGAAAGAUUGUACGACAAUUUUACAAAAGAUUUUAACUAUUCAAGAACCCCUUUAUUAUGUAGCAAUCAACACAUUGUGCAACAAGAAAGAGUACAAAGAGGUGUGGAUGGAGAUGGAAAGUGACCAAGAACGAAUCUGGUGGAUUCAAAGUCUAGCAAAAUAUGUUGGGAACCUCUUUUAUUUAAAUUAAAAUGUCUUGAACCUAAAGCCUUUUAAUUGUGCUUGCUGAAUUUUGACAAUGUCUUUUCAUCGAAAAAUAUUAUAUCGUGAUUUAAUGAUUAUGUUAUUUUUAUUUAUUCAUUUUACUUCUUCACAAGCUUAUUAUUAUUUCUUUAUAAAUUGUCAUAUUUUCUUUAAUUGUUGGAUGAUAUUGUGGUACAAAAAAUUUAGAUAUUGUUAUUAUUGUGGUCUUUUUUUUUUCUUUUUUUAGAUAUUUCUAUGGAAGCUUUAAGUAAAGGAGAUGAUGAUAUGAAAUACAAGGUUAAGAGGUUGUUACGAAAACGAUUGAUUAUGUUGAUACCUGAUUUAUUAAAGCCACUAAAUAUUGAAAGAUUGCUAGCAUCAAAACAUACAGGUUCUGAUUUUACUAAAGAGCUUUUAAGUGGAUCAUCUACUACAUGUUAUGAAUUAAUGCGGAUGGAGAAGAAUGGGUUUAUCUAUUUAUGUCAAUUCUUCAAGGUAAAAAGGUGGUUAUACCCUAGUAAACAUGUGCCUGUUGAGCAAAAAAUGGCAAUGUGUUUGAUGACAAUUAGUCACAAUCUUUGUAAUCGACUUGUAAGAAAUAUUUUUCAGCACUCAACUCAAACAGUACACAAGUACUUUCAUGAGGUUUUAGUAGCCAUGAUGAAGUUCUUGAAAAAAAUGAUUACUCCUCCUUCAUUUAAUGACGAUUUAAGUGGCAUAACUAAUCACAGGCUAUAGUAAAUAUUCAAGGUAAAUUAUCUUUAUCAAUGAUAAAUAGUAAGAUAAUUAAUAUAUUUCUUAUAUUAAUAAUAUUUGCUUUUGUAGAGUGUUGUUGGUGCAAUAGAUGGAACUCUAAUUCAUGCAUGUAUUCCAGUAGAUAAACAAGUGCCAUAUAGAGGUUGCGGGAGAGGGGAAUGUUUUCAAAAUGUCAUGGCAAUUUGUGACUUUGACAUGAUAUUAAUGUACGUCGUUGUUGGAUGGGAAGGAAUAGCACAUGAAUCAAGAGUCUUGACAAAAACAAUUCGUGAUUCAAGACAUAAUUUUCCAAUGCCACCACCAGGUAAUCUUUUCCUUAAUAUAAUUCCCAGACAAUCUUUUUUCUAAUAAUUAACUCUUGGUAAUUAUUGAACCCAGAAAAAUAUUAUUUAGUUGAUGCGGCAUAUACACAUACCAGAGAAUUUAUGGCGCCAUAUCAUUACGUACGUUAUUGGUUGAAUGAUUUUCGUAAUGGUGGUCGGGCUAGAGGGAAAGAGGAGAUUUUCAACCAUAGUCAUGCGAAAUUAAGGAAUGUUAUUGAGUGCACUUUUGGUGUUCUAAAAGCUCGUUUUCCAAUUUUAAAGCGGAUGCCGCCAUAUCCAUUUGAUACUCAGACAAAGAUUGUUAUCGCAUGCAUUGCGAUACAUAAUUUUCUUCCACGAUUAUCUAUUACUGAUGCAUUAUUUUUGGAGUAUGACAAUGAAGAAGUUGAGUUGGAAAAUAGUAGUGCAAAUUUGAAUCAACCAACAAAUUCAAGCAACUUCUUCGGACCAUCAGAUCAAGUCUUCGUGCAACAGUUACGAGAUUAACUCGCAAAUCAACUUUCCCAAUGAUGUAAUUGAUUUUCUUAUCUUUUAAAAAUUUUAAUUAGUAUGACAAGUUUGAUUAAAUUUUGCAUUUGGACUAAUGUAAUAAUAUUUUUAUUUAAAAAUCAUUUACUACCUAAUUCUACAUAUGUUUGAUUUUAAUUGUAAUGUGCAUGUAUUUAACUCUUAAAAUUUAUAACAAGUAUAAAUAAUUCUUAAAAGAACAUAAAUGUCAAAUAAUCAUUUUUAAGAUGUUUGUGCUUUACAAAAAAAAAAAAAAAAAAGCUACUUAUAUUCAGAUAUUGGAAAAGAAAAAACAAACAUAUCAUUCAGACAUAUGGAAUUCAGACCUAUUCAGACUUCAGUCAAAUUCAGACCUAUUCAGAUUUCAGACAAAAAAAUAAAUGCUACCUAAGUCUACCACGUCAUCAAAAAAAUCAAACAGUCCCCUUUAACUGAAGUCAAUCUGCAUAUUGCCUUGCCCAUUACGUCUUCACAUUUUGCAUUUGUGUCCAAAAACUCGUAUGCUUAUAUCUUCACAUUCUCCACUUUGCAAUUGAUUCAGUUGAUACCUUCAAUAAAGCAGUAUCUAGAAAACCUUCAACCAACUAGAAUUCACUCCUAAAUUUAGUUUGGUUUGGGCAAAACUCCUAUUAAAUUCACACAUAACUCAAAUUUUAUAGUAUGAAGCACGUUAGUAAGUGCAUCGGCUGGAUUUACAUCUGCAUGGAUCUUGGAAACAACCAGAGCUCCCUUUGCAUGAUAAAUUGCGACUUCACAUCUGUAUGCUUGGACCUCUCAUGAUAGACUUGAUUCUUGGUCAAUUGAAUGGCACUUUGAUUAUCACAUAAAUCUUGGACUGUUUUCUAAUUCAACUAAAGUUCAUUGAGAACAACUUUAAUUAAAUAUAUGUCGUGAUGUUAUUGAAUUGCUGUAUGAAUAGCUUGAUUUAAUGAAGAUAGUAACCUGAUUCAAUGAAGAUAGUCUAAAUUUUCUCAAGAAACGUAAUACGAAGACAUAGGGUAACCUAGUUAAUUUAAUAUUGAAAAACUUCAAUAGACAAAUAAUAAUGAUCGAUGAGAUUCAAUCAGGUAAUAUGCAUAUAUUUAAUUGAUCAGAUUUUCUAAGAUUUCAAAUGUCUAUAAUUGUUGAAAACAAUAAACUUGUUUUACACAAAUAAUUCAUUUAAGUGGAAUGAGGCGUUGAGGUGUACAUAGCCCUUCAUCAUUAUGCCCCAUCAUCAUGGUCCUACCAUAUUAUAUUCAUGAAGCCUCUAAUUGAGUGGAGAUUAGCUUUACACUUUGGAUGCCAUUAAAGGAUUCCUUUAGAGCAUGUUAGGUGAGUGGAAUAUGUUUGGUGCUAUGAUGAAAGAUUGGUGGAACAUGUUAGGUGAUGUGUAUUGUUAUGAUUAUGUUUGUGUUUCAUUCACUAUAAAUACCUAUGCCAUUUGUGUUGUAUGCAUCAAGUGUAAGAAGAAGAAAUCAUAAGAAGCAAAAUAGCUUCUAAGAGUAAUUUAUGAAGAGUGUGUGAAUUGUUCUCGUAAUGUUCUGGAGUUUUCUCCAAUAAAAUUUGUGUUUUAUUCUUCAAAUUCUCCAACAAUAAUUAAUCAAAUUAAUAUUGUUAACGCUCACUAUAGGAGACCACAUGGAUUAUUGACGACUUCUUCUGUUUAUUUUAGUUAAACAAAUCACCGUACAUAUAUAUACCUUCCCUUGGAUCGAUGUCUUUACAAUAUUACCAAAAACUAACAAAUACUGAUUUUGUAAGUAAUAUAAUAAAAUUGGUGCGACCGUGAGCCAGAUCUAUCCCAAUCGAAAUUUCUUGUUUAUACUACGAGAGGCUAAAUUAACCCAAUUGAGCUUAUCCCAUUGGAAUUACAAAUGAAGUGAUGCGCAUGAUCCCUUGAAUUUAUUGGAACUACAAAUGAUGUGAUACAUAUGAUCCUAUGAAUUUAUUGGAAUAACAGAUGAUGUGAUACACAUGAUCCCUUGAAUAUCAUUGACUAAGAUUAAAAUGCAUUGCCAAUGCCGUCGACCCGUUACUAUUUUGUGUGGACCCUUCGGUCAUGUUUGGAUGCUAGGAUUAAAUAUGGGAUUGGAUUAAUUUUGAGAUUAAAUUUUUAUCCUAUGUUUGGCAAACUUAGUUGGAUUGGAUUAAGGGGGAUUAAAUUUGAAUUUAAUCCUUAAAUUAUGGGAUUAAUAAUCCUAAUUUGCACAUGGGUUUAGUUGGGAUAAGACUAAAAAAAACGUUAUCCAUUUAUGAAAUUUUUAUUUGUAUCAUUUUUUUAUUUACACCUAAUAUUGAUUGAUUAAUUAAUUAAUUAAUUUUUUUAUUGUGAUUUACUUAAAAUUUAUUUUUAUUUAUUAUCUAUGAUCUAAUUAAAUUGGUACUUUUACUUCUACCAACUCUUGAGAUUAAAUUUUCAUUACUUGUAUAUUUAAUAAUUAAUUUAUAAAAUUAAAUGUUUAAUUAUUUAUUGCAUUAUUUGAUUGUAUUAAAUUUAAUAAUCACUAAUAUGAUAUUAAAAAUAAUCAUGAAAAUUAAUAAUACCAUUAAUUAAUUGAUUUUAUAUAAUAUUUUUAAAUAUUUGAUAAAAAUUAAUUAAAUAUUUAAUUUAUUUUUAUUUUUUAUUAUAUUAUGACUAUCCAAUAACUUAUUUGCAAUAUAUUUAAUUUUCAUAGUAAUUUCUUUUAAAAUUUAUUUUAAUUAUGAUUAUAAAAUUUCAUGAAUAAUUGAUAUUUAUAUUAAAACACCAAUUUAAAUGCUAUUUUAUAUUAUUUGAAUAUAAUUUGAUAUAGUCCAAUCCAGUAUUAUACCAAACAUAAGACUAUAUAAUCUAAUCCAAUCUAAUCCAGUCUAAUCCUAACAAUUUAGUUCAAUCUAAUCCUGCGUGUCAAACGUAACCUUCAAGUACUCAAAAUGUUUCCUUGGCAAUGAUGAUUACGCAGUUACAUGGAAAAUGUAACAACAAGUUAAGAGAAGAUUGCAGUUCUUGCACAUUCUUGACUUACAUGUUGCAUUCAUUCAAAGUCUUCUUGACUUACUUUUUUCAUUCAUCCAAUGUCCCGGUACAGCCCCAUUUAAACGCAAUAACCCAUGAAGUACUACCAAAUAUUUCAGUUUUAUGACAAUAACCAUGUUUUAAUAAAUCAAUUAUUAAUGUUACCAUAUAAUAUAUAUGCUCCGCAAUUCUUUAUUUAUUUAUUUAUUUUUUAAAUAAAUAAAUGCAUAUAUACUAGUAAGUAAUGGCUCUUUCAAAUCCGCUGAGUGUUCUGGUGACUGGGUAUGGUGAAACCAGAAUUUUCACUCGGGGCAUAUGGAAACAAAAACUUUAUUGACGCAGUUGGCAAUAUGUAAGAACUAUGAAAUUGAGGGGGAAAAGAAUAAAAUUUACCGAGAAAAAGGUCAUUAUUAAAGCUUGGGGUCCAGGACCUCCCAUAAUUCAGAUCCUCUGUACAUGUGUACAUUGCUCAUGGAGAUAUCAAUUAUCAAGACCUCCCAUAAUUUUGUUUUUGUUUUUUUUAAUAGAGAAUUUUCUAGCAAUUAAUAAUUUUGACUUAUACGAUUGAAAGCUUGAAUUUUGGAAAUCUUUCCUUCUCAGUGAUUGUAUAAAAGGAUUGAUAGAAUUGAAUAAUCCCCAUUCAAUUUUGUUUUUUCUUUUUUCAAAUAAGUAAUAUGUCAAAGUGUUAUAGGAAUAAUGUUCCAGUCUGCACUUUGCUUGUUGCCUAUACGGUUAUUAGAUCAAUGAGUUCAUGUCCCUUGGUAAUAGACGCAAGAAUUCGGAAUUUCUCAGCUAUCCAAGCUGCGCAACUAAUUAAGAACGUGAAAUUUUUUGAUCCAAUUAAUUGAAGAACAUUACUUUUAUUUAUCCUUCCACUAUUUUUAUAUUUUUGUUUGUGUUUUUAUUGCAUUUUUAAUUUUCUUAACCUUUGUCUUGAACUCUCAAUGACAGAAAGUUUAGUCCAUAAAAGUGCCACAGAAGGGUUACUCCGUCAGAGGAGUCUGAGGACUGUUCGUGCACUUGGAAAUAAUCCGGUACAAGCUGCAUUUAAACACAAUGACUAAGAAAUUGCAAUGUGCGGGCUGGUCAGAGAUGGGUCGUAAUAAUAGCUGGUAACAAGCAUUUAUUUUUUAUUUUUUGAAAGGAACAAGCAUUUAUUUGUAAUUUGCUUAAUUGAACCAAAAUGAGAUUGUGAAGAAGCAAGUAGACAUUGUCGAAAUGAAAGCAUAUACUCGAUGGCUUAAUAACAUUCACUUGCUGGUUUUUAACCAUGUUGAUGAAAAUUUAAGACAUAAAAGCGUACGCAUAACUGAUUGAAAAUUUUAAAAUAUAAGUAACAUAUAUACGUCAUGAUUUUAUUGAAUUGUUGUACGAAUAACAUGAUUCAAUGAAGAUAGUGACGUGAUUCAAUGAAUAUAGUGUAAGUUUUCUCGAGAAACAAAAUACGAAGACAUAAGGUAACCUGAUUAUUACAAUAUUGUAAACUUCAAUAGACAAACAGUAAUGAUCAAUGAGAUUCAAUCAAGUAAUAUGUAUAUAUUUAAUUGAUCGGAUUUUAUAAGAUACCGGAUGUCUAUAAUAAUCAAAUUAAUAUUGUUUACGCUCACUAUAGCAGACCACAUGGAUUAUUGAUGACUUCUUCUGUUUAUUUUAGGUAAACGAAUCAACGUGUGUGUGUGUAUACACGUACUCCCUUGGAUGGUUGUCUUUACAAUAUUACCAAAAACUAACAGAUAUUGAUUUUGUAUGUAAAAUAAAAUUGGUGUGACCGUGAGCCGGAUCUAUCCCGAUCGAGAUUUCUUGUUUAUGUAAAAUAACCCAAUUGAGCUCAUCCCAUUGGAAAUACAAGUGAAAUGAUACGCAUUAUCUCUUGAAUUCAUUGGAACCACAAAUGAUGUGAUAGAUAUGAUCCUACGAAUUUAUUGGAAUAACAGAUGAUGUGUUACACAUGAUCCCUUGAAUAUCAUUGAAUAAGAUUAAAAUGCAGUGCCAAUGCCGUCGACCCGUUACUAUUUUUGUUUGGACCCUUCAAGUACCCAAAAUUUUUCCUUGUCAAUGAUGAUUACGCAGUUACAUGGAAAAUGUAACAAUAUGUCAAGAUUGCAGUUCUUGCACGUUCUUGACUUACAUGUUGCAUUCAUUCAAAUUUCCGGUACCAGCUCCAUAUUUCACGUUCUUGACUUACUUAUUUCAUUCUUUCAAUGUCCCGGUACAGCCCCAUUUAAACGCAAUAACGCAUGAAGUACUACCAAAUAUUUCAGUUUUAUGACAAUCAGGAUGAUUUAAUAAACCAAUUAUUAAUGUUACCACAUAAUAUAUAUGCUCCGCGAUUCUUUUUUUUUUUUUUUAAGUAUGGUGACUGAGUAUGGUGAAACCAGAAUUUUCAUUCGGGGGCAUAUGGAAACAACAAACUUUAUUAACGCAGCUGGCAAUGUGUGAGAACUAUGAAACUGAGGGGCUAAAGAGCACAGUUUACCUAGAUAAAGGUCACUUGCUCAUUUUCAAAGCUUGGGGUCCAGGACCUCCCAUAAUUCCGAUCUUAUGUACAUGUGGAUUGCUCAUGGAGAUAUCAAUUAUCAGCAUAUAAUUUGAAUUAUUCUUGUGGAUUGGAGAUAAGUAUUGUUGGUGUUAAUUACAUGGUAUAUAUUCAUAUACAUAUUGGGUUUUACUCCAAAACGGGAUGAGCUCAGUUGAUAGACAUCCCAAGUCUUGUAAAACUUGAGGUAAACAACAUUUGCGUUUUUGCUGAUCAAUCAAAUAUGUUAAACACAUGUACUUUCUCUUUUUCUUGUUUGUCUAUUGAAGUUUUACUAAACUAAAUUAACUGUGUUACCCUACGGCUUUAUAUUUCAAUUCCUUAAUAACUUUUGUUACCUAUGGCUUUAGUUUUUAAAUAUUUGUUGAAGUCUUGCCCAUAGCUGCCAUUGCUCAAUCUCGAAAGAAGAAGAUGAUGAAGGUAGAAAACCAAGGAAAGUGAAUUAGGAGAAAAGUAAUAGUGAAUGAAAAAUAAGAAUUUGGUUUGUUCAUGGAAGUUUAUUACUUUAUUUUUCUAAUUUAAGAAAUUGAUUUUUACUUUUCUAAUUUAAGAAAUUGAUUUUUACUUUUCUAAUUUAAGAAAUUGAUUUUGUAAAACAAAAGCAAUAAAAUUUUUGGCCAUUCAAUAAUCAUAUUGCCACUUGUCUCGAGAUUUUCAAAAAAUUAAAAAAUAUAUAUAUUAGAAGCGAAUCUGACUCCAAAUUGAAAAGAAAUAGCCAUUUUCCCACAUAUUAUAAUGCAAAGUUGAGGCUAAAUCGCAGUAUUUAAACUAUGAUGUAGCGUUGAAUUAUAUUUGUAAAGUAGAUGAUUCUCCAUCCCCCAACUGUAGAAGUGUAACCAGACUUAAAAUCUAUUGGGGUAGACUAAAUUUACUUGACGAAUUUAAUUGUCCUCAAAUAUUUUUAUUUAAUUUCAUUUUUAACAUACACAUUUAAAAUGAUCUUGGUGAAGAAAACAUAAGAACCUAUUUUUUUCAUAUUAUUUAAAGCCAAUUUUAAAAUCCAUGAAACGGAUCCAGAUUGAGCAACUAAAUUUUCUUUCAAGAGAAUUGAAACCUCCAUCAUUAUUUUAUACGUACAUAGUGCUUGUAACAGUCUUCCGGUUACGCUCCGACGGAUUAAACCUCUUUUUUGAGAGCUGAAGACAGAAAAGAUUGACUAAAUUAACAGAAAUCAAUUUAGAUCAUAUGAAUCACAGAGACAGCCAUAUAACAUUAAUUAUAUGUUAGGGCUCGGCUACCUUACAUAAAAGGUAAGAUAUAGCUCUUGUAGAACAGUUUAAUCCAGCCCCUGUUUAAUUUUCUUCUCCAUCACUGCCUGCCCUCUGUAAAACAAACUGUUUGAGGAAAAAAUAGGAAAGGCAGUAAAGCGCCACGUGUCAACCAAUGGAAUGAUUCCAGCACAAUCUGAGGUACCCCGCUCAAUCCGAGGUGCCCAGCGUGAUUUGAGGUAUCUCGUACAAAUAGAGGUACCCUGCACAAUUAGAGGUACCCUACACAAAUAGAGGUACCCCAUAUAAUAUGAGGUACCCCACACAAAUAGGGGUACCCCGCAUAAUAAGAGGUACCCCACGUAACUCGAGGUACCCGGCAUAACGGAUGCAAGAGAAUCCUCCAAAAAUAUCCGCCAUGAGAAACGUCACCGCCUCUUAAAAGAUAUUAUUAGAUUUUUUCAGAGUUAGGAAUAAAAAACGAUGUGCUAAAAGGAGGGACAGCCGCCUGCCACCUCUGCCAAAAGUGAAGGACACUGUCCCAAGGACAGUGGUCCCCAGCCGCCUACUCGACAGCUACUGCAAAGGUACCCUGGACCACUCUCCAGCGCGCGCCACGUUUCCAAAAGAUGAGAUACGCCGCGAACAUGCAGAUAACGGCCCAAAAAUUAUAAAGAGGUGAAAGGAUGUUAGCCAAAAAGGGUACGCCACGUGGCAACUGAGGUACUCCAUAUAUAAAGGCGCCUAGGUUUCAUUCUCCAUGAGGUUCUCACUCACCAUUAACACUCACACUCCAAAAAAUAGGUUUUCUUAAACCUUAAACCCUAAUUUACAGAGGGCUAGCCAGCUCUCUUGACCAUAAAAGCUUGAGUUUGCUAACUUAAGCGUCGGAGUGUGAACGCCGGGGUACCUCGGCUUCACCUCUAACCUCUAUUUCAUUAUUUUGCAGGCGUGUAGCUCAUUUUGAAGGACACCUCUCUUGAUUUUGACCUUUCACCAUUGUUACCACUCUCUCUCCCCUUCUCACUUCCCCGGAAUUUCAGAUACACCGCACACAACAAACCAGUGAGGUACCCCAUCUCCCCCAAAAAUAUAAAUUCAUUGUUCAAGAUAGAUUUUGGCUUUUCCUACCCCAAAAUCUGUUGAAAACAAUUGGCGCCGUCUGUGGGGAGUCGCACAAAAAGCCUCCUCCACGGUUACCAAACUAGUUGUUGUGUGUACUCCAAUACAUGGCACCCGACGUACCUCCCGAAGGUUUAAUGGCGAAUCCUACAAGGAUGAGAGAUGACAGCAGUGGUGAAGGUAGUGAUCCCGCAAGAAGGGUAGCCCGCAUCAUCAAGGGCAAGGUUAUCAAGCAAUCGACAGGUGUUCGCCAAGAUGAGGAACCUAUUUCUCACAAGCAUUUCGAGGAUCUUGCCCACGCAAUACUUAGGGCGGUUGGAUCUCGGGCACCCGAAAGUUCACUUCCACCAGUGACGCUAGAUGCUCCACCACCUCAAACGGACGACCAAACUAUGGUCAGAAGAGGAGUACCCGAGGCCAGCAAGCCAAAGUAUAGGCCAUUGGAUACCCGUUAUAAGUUUCAAACCGUGGGCUCCCGCGACGAGUGUUCCACCGCCUCUUGCAAUUCCCGUAGCAGCCAGGGUACGAGGCAUCCAAAGCGUACCCACGAGGAUCUCCGUGAAAAGUUAAACGCCAAAAGGGCUUCUCAAAUGGCGGCGACAUUAUCGGGUACCCCGAUGGUACCCCACGAACUUGUGGAAAAAAUGGAGAACCUGGAAGCCCAAGUGAAGCUCUUCUCCGAAAAGCAAAACAUCACAGCUGCUCCAACGCCAAUGACCUACCAAUCGCCAUUCACUAUGGAGAUUCGGAAGGCAGCUCUCCCCGAGGCGUUCGCCAUGCCUCAGAUACCCCAAUACUCGGGUACCACUGAUCCCUCGGAGCAUGCUAAGUUAUACCGCGACCAAAUGCUUAUCAAGGGUGUAGAUGAGAGCGCCACAUGUAAGAUGUUUACACACACACUCAGUCAUGGUUUCGCUCUCUGAAAGCGGGUAGCAUAUCUUCCUUACACUAAUUAUUAUCCGAAUUUACUAAAGAGUUUUCCUACGAUUCCACUCAAGAUAGGGUAGCCUACAAACUUGCCUUUAUCAAGCAAGGGGAAGCCGAGCCUUUGGCGGAGUAUGUGAGUCGUUUACACCAAGAGGUGCUGCGAACUGGAGCAUUUGGAAACCAACACACACUGACCCAUUUAGAGAAAAAUUUACGGUUGGGCAAGUUAUGGCGUUCCUUUCAAAAGAAGCACCCACUUUCAUAUAGGGAAGCCUGUUCCCGGGCGUUGCAGCAAGUGGAGAUGGAUGAGAAAUGUCAUUUGAAGCGCCAAGAAGAUAAGGUCGAGGUCACAAAGAAUAAGGAGAAGCCGAAGAGGACGAAAGCCCCAAUACCAAAGGUACCCCGAAUGCGGAGCCCUCAACGGGUUGCCCCGCGGGGACGAGUCUUUAACACUCAGGGUAUCUCACGGAUACCCCAACCUCCAAGAUCGCCACCACCAGAGCAGCAAGAGCCACCACCGAGGCCUCGGUAGUAGGGUACCCCAUAACUAGUUACUCUAGAGUUAUGCGGGGGUACCCCACGGGGACCAGAUUAAGCCCGUUCCCGAGCGUUGCAGCAAGUGGAGAUGGAUGAAAAAUGUCAUUUGAAGCGCCAAGAAGAUAAGGUUGAGGUCACAAAGAAUAAGGAGAAGCCGAAGAGGAUGGAAGCCCCAAUACCAAGGGUACCCCGAAUGCAGAGCCCUCCACGGGUUGCCCCGCGGGGACGAGUGUUUAACACUCAGGGUAUCUCACGGGUACCCCAACCUCCAAGAUCGCCACCACCAGAGCAGCAAGAGCCACCACCGAGGCAUCGGUGGUAGGGUACCCCAUAACUAGUUACUCUAGAGUUAUGCGGGGGUACCCCACGGGGACCAGAUUAAGCCCAAAUGUGAAUUGGAGGCACAUUUGGAUCCUCGAAUGCCCAAAGAUGAAAAACGAGGUACCCCAGUUGAAGACUCGAUUUUAGUCUCGAUUUGGGCCACCGAUCCAACAAAGAAAAGUCAUACUACUAGUAAAAGUAUUGUUUAUUAUUAUGCAAGAGGGUAUCUAGAGAUCACUUCACUCUAGGGUACCCGAGGUACCUGACCUAUCCCCAAUCAUGACAAUCUACUUAACAUCAUAGCCGCCUUUAUCAUUAUUUGUUCGCCAUAUUUGAUUCUGAGCGAAUGGUCGAUCAUGAGGUUUCAAUCAUCUCGCAUAAGGGUAGGCGAGCAGCCAUCUUUAUUUCAAUCUAUAUUGUCUAUUUGAUUCCAUGCGAAUGGUGGAUCAUGAGGUUUUCGACCAUCUCGCAUAAGGGUAGGCGAGCAGCUACCUUUAUCUCAAUCUAUGUUGUCUAUUUGAUUCCAGCGAAUGGUGAAUCAUGAGGUUUUCGAUCAUAUCGCAUAAGGGUAGGCGAGCAGCCACUUUUAUCUCAAUCUAUGUUGUCUAUUUGAUUCCAGCGAAUGGUAAAUCAUGAGGUUUUCGACCAUCUCGCAUAAGGGUAGGCGAGCAGCUACCUUUAUCUCAAUCUAUGUUGUCUAUUUGAUUCCAGCGAAUGGUGAAUCAUGAGGUUUUCGAUCAUAUCGCAUAAGGGUAGGCGAGCAGCCACUUUUAUCUCAAUCUAUGUUGUCUAUUUGAUUCCAGCGAAUGGUAAAUCAUGAGGUUUUCGACCAUAUCGCAUAAGGGUAGGCGAGCAGCCACCUUUAUCUCAAUCUAUGUUGUCUAUUUGAUUACACGCGAAUGGCGGAUCAUGAGAUUUUCGACCAUCUUGCAUAAGGGUAGGCGAGCAGCCCACCUUUAUUACUAUUUGUCUUGCAUAUUUGAUGUAGAGUGAAUGGUGGAUCAUGAGGUUUUCCAUCAUCUCUCAAAAGGAAUCGCCACAAGUUUUGUGAAGAUUUGCGGCAAGUAUUUCUAUGAAAAUCGCCAUACACUGAUUAAGGGUACCUCCGAGGUACCCCACGCCAGAAAGUCACUCCUCAAAUACACCAAGAGGAACCCUAAGAAAAUGUGGGAUAAGUAACAAGCAUAUCCGGAGGAAUCACCAUAUGUUUGAUGAAAUGGGGUUGUUCCGCCAUGAAUUAACCGCAACAAGCAUGUCUAAAUAAACCGCGAUACACUGAUGAGACAAGAUUAAGGGUACCCAUAGUACUCAGGGUACCCUAUGACAGAAAACUAUUCCUCGUGUACACCAAGAGGCACUCUAAGAAAGCCUGAGAUAAGCAUCAAGCAUAUUUAAAGGAAUCGCCAUAUGUUUGAUAAAAUUGGGUUAUCCCGCCAUGAAGUAACAGAUAGCUCAGGGGAUAUCCAAGCUUAAGGGUACCCGAGGUACCCCAUACGCCUUGUCAGUAAUGUCGAACAAGGUUACAUAGUAGGAUGGUUAUCUUCACCUUCAGCAUUUAGGAUAAGGGGAUCAACAAAAGUGCUAGAAAUAGCAGAAACACAAGCGUCGGUAUCAUGGGUACCUUAUGGCGACUUCAUCUGAGGUACCCUAGUUGAUCUCCAUGGGCUUUCAAACCAAGAUGUGUGGGGAGCCCUGUUAUUCUCAAUUGCCUUCAAGAUAGCCGGCUUAUCUACCUAGUUCUCCACUCUUGGCACCACCAGCCCCAUAUCAGCACUCCAUUCCUCGGUCAUGAUGCGCUCAAAAGCAUUGUCAACUAUGUACUUCUGUCGAGGUACCAAGUCCUCAAGCUUAACUUAAAGCUCCUCAGGGUCUUCCACCUUAUGGGCCUUCUCCUCUUAAACUUCAUCAAAUUGUCCCCUCAAAGUCUUGUUCACUCUAGAGAUAUUUCCUUCAUGAGGGUACCCCUAGAGGCGUCCUUUAUUCAGCUGCCCAUCGAGCUAAACUUCAUAUCGCCACGUGUCGCUCUUACUUUUUAUACUUUUUAUGUAAGUUUCUUUUGCCUCUAAUACUUAUCGCCAAAAAGAAACUAGGGGGAUGUUGUUUGAGGGAAAAAUAGGAAAUGCAGUAAAGCGCCACGUGUCAACCAAUAGAAUGAUUCCAGCACAAUCUGAUAUACCCCGCUCAAUCCGAGGUGCCCGUCGUGAUUUGAGGUAUCCCGUACAAAUAGAGGUACCCUGCACAAUUAGAGGUACCCCAUAUAAUAUGAGGUACCCCACACAAAUAGGGGUACCCCGCAUAAUAAGAGGUAUCCCACGUAACUCGAGGUACCCGGCAUAACGGAUGCAAGAGAAUCCUCCAAAAAUAUCCGUCAUGAGAAACGUCACCGCCUCCUAAAAGAUAUUAUUCGAUUUUUUUCAGAGUUAGGAAUAAAAAACGAUGUGCUAAAAGGAGGGACAGCCGCCUGCCACCUCUGCCAAAAGUGAAGGAUAAUGUCCCAAGGACAGUGGUCCCCAGCCGCCUACCCGACAGCUACUGCAGAGGUACCCUAGAUUACUCUCCAGCGCGCGCCACGUUUCCAAAAGAUGAGAUACACCGCGAACAUGCAGAUAACGGCCCAAAAAUCAUAAAGAGGUAAAAUGACGUUAGCCAAAAAGGGUAUGCCACGUGGCAGCUGAGGUACUCCAUAUAUAAAGGCGCCUAGGUUUCAUUCUCCAUGAUGUUCUCACUCACCAUUAACACUCACACUCCAAAAAAUAAGUUUUCUUAAACCUUAAACCCUAAUUUACAGAGGGCUAGCCAGCUCUCUUGACCAUAAAAGCUUGAGUUUGCUAACUUAAGCGUCGGAGUGUGAACGCCGGGGUACCUCGGCUUCACCUCUAACCUCUAUUUCAUUGUUUUGCAGGCGUGUAGCUCAUUUUGAAGGACACCUCUCUUGAUUUUGACCUUUCACCAUUGUUACCACUCUCUCUCCCUUCUCACUUCCCCGGAAUUUCAAAUACACCGCACCGCACACAACAAACCAGUGAGGUACCCCAUCUCCCCCAAAAAUAUAAAUUCAUUGUUCAAGAUAGAUUUUGGCUUUUCCUACCCCAAAAUCUGUUGAAAACACCGAGAUUGUGCCUUCUUACUACUUCAUGCAACACACCUCAGGUGCAUCGACAUCAGCUCUAUAUCAGAAUCAGACAUUUCAGUUCUCAAAAUUUUAGGGUCUACAUUCUUUUGUUCUUUUCGCUUUUCUCCCUUCAAUUUUUCAGUGUCAGGUACAUUCCCUUUCCAUAAAUUAAGUAAAAUAUCCACAAUAUUUUCUUCUUAAACACAAUAAGUAGUGUAAGGCUCUUCUUGCAGUUGGUUUUCAACAAUCUUCGCAUGUCCACUGUCAUCGAUGUGUCCGAAAUCUGCCACUGGUAUCGUUUCUCCAUCUUCUAAAAGUUCAAGCUCAUAUGUUUCAUAGACAUUUUCCUCAUUGGGCCUUUCUUUACUAGUAUAAUUCAGGAGUGGUCCAAUCCCAAGUGUUUUCUCUCGACUAUUAUUUAUCUUGUCUCCACGAUGAGAAUGAACAACCAGAGGGUCACUCUGAUUUUCAAGUGCCCUCUUAAACCAGUCACAGGAAUCAGCUGUCUUUGCAUUGUCCCCAUCAUUCUCUAGCUCUCCGUCCACUUCCACAAUUAAAACCUCAACUUGAACAUCAUCCAUUCGAUCCUCACAACCACCAUAAUCGUAAUUUCUCUCUUGAUAAAGAGAUGAAAUAUUCAAGCUCAUUUCCUUUAUUUGUUCUAUUAUUCUCCUUCUUUUUAUCACCACUAAAACUUUUAGAAUUAAUAAAACAUGCCAACUGUUUCUUUGUUUCCAUAGCCUUCUUCCUCAACUCCUUUGUCCUCAUCAAUUCACAUUUAUACCAACAAUAGGGACAGUAAAAAUUUCCCACAUCAUCAAAUUUAACUCCACAGCUCAGGCAGUUUUCAUGUACAGAAAUUGGGCAUCCAGAUUGACUACAAACCAACAGGUUCUCAUCGCGUCUAUUACACUUAAUACAAGGCUCUUCCUCCAAGAAAUCAAUAUCCAUAAAAUCUCCACUCCGGCCUGAACCACUAUGAUUUUCCAUGUGAACACCAACCUCAUCAUCAUUAUAUGCAGAAGCCAUGGCUACAUCGCCAUUCAUUUUGCUUAAUGUUUCUCCAUUUGCUUUAUCAUUCGUAAAGAUCCAACUAAAAUUUUCAGAAGUUGUCACUUCGAAAGUUUCUUAAUUAAAAGUUAAAAUUAACAUAUAAUAUCAUCAAGUAAUAUUUUGUUUUAAAAAUGACACACACACAUUUUUCAAACUGUAACAAAAGAGAAUAAUCACGGAAAGAAAAUCAUCAUAUUAAAUCAUUAAAAAAAACAAAAAAGCCACAUUAGCAUGAGCAUUUGCAAGCGAGCAUCUUUACUUAAACCAUUUUGUUCAAAAAAAGAAAUGGUUAACUGGGCAGAAGAAAAAGCUCUUGAGAAGCAAACAGAGAAAGAUGAAGCGACAGAGAGAAAAUACCGAUUCAUGUUCGUGAUUGAAUAAACGAAGUGACUGACUUGUUGAAAUUCAACUCAGUGAAGCGAAUUUAGGGACUCGGGCCCCGCAUCGCGCGUUUCUGUUCUCAUUUCCUUCAAAGCUACUACGUUUCUCCGAGUGGCACUGCGGGUUUCAUACUUUUAUUACAAUCAACACGUUGCGUUUAAUAAAUAGCAGCCACAGGGACGAUUGGGUGCUUGCAUGCAUUUUACCUGGGCUUCGUGCACAUUUACCCGUUUCACUUACUAAUUACACUGCAAGUUUAGUCAUCAUCCGAAACAACACCGCAUAGACAGAGAAUCGAUUCAAUUUUCAGCUUGAGAUCAAGCUGAGAACAGAAUAGCAGAUCAAGCAUCAAUUUAAUUUUUAAGAGUUUGGGUUGGGGACUUACGGUUUCAGCUGACCGAUAAGAGGGGACACAAGAGUCAAUCUCUUUCAUCUUCGAAAUAUCAUAAUGUUGGGAAAGGGACUACCACAAGCAACUGUAAACUAAGCGGAAAUAAAAUUCUUUCUCACUUUGUGUGAUUAAAAUAGGAUGUGCACCACAAACAAAUAGGCAGAAAAUAAACCAAUAAAUACAAAGCAAUAAAUCAACCACAAGAAACACCAAUUUUUACGUGGAAAACUCAAAUCAGAAAAAACCACUGGACCGUAGUCCGAUAUAAACUUCCACUAUAUUAAUGAGAUUAUAGCACAAAUUUUUCUCCAGAUAACACUAGAGGCUAACAACAUCAAGAUUCUUAACAAUCUUAGUUUAUAAUAAUAAAUUUAUAAUCUAUUUCUCCAAUAAGUGAGUAUCUCAAACAACGACUAUCGAGGGAAUAAAAUACAAAUCAACACCAGUAGAAAUGUAGAGGGAGAUGUCAAAAACUUACCCUUUAAAUUUGGGAGAAAUCAGAACUAAAAUCACCUUCCGAUUGUUUGAUCAAAGAUUGAAACCCCCAAAGAAAUCUUUCUCUCUCGCAGCGUCGCAUCUCUUCGCGAAAUAGCUAGAGCUCUCGCGAUUCUUCACUUAUUUCCUUUAUAUAUAUUUUUGGUUAAUUUCAUCGAAGUCUAAAAUUUUAUAAUAAUUACACAUCAAGCAAAUUAUUUGACUUUGGACUUUUUAGUUCACCGAAGUGAGAUAGACCCUACAAAUCUCCCCCUCCAUCUCAUCUGAGGGGCACCACCAAGCCCGCUCUCUACUUACAACUUUCCAGCUUCUCCUUGGGCAAUGACUUGGUCAUCAUAUCUAAUGCAUUCUUCGUUAUGUGAAUUUUCUCAAGCUGCAACUGUUUUUGCUCAAGCACGUCUCGUAUCCAAUGAUACCUCACAUCAAUAUGUUUCGACUUCGAAUGAUAUGUUGAAUUCUUUACCAAGUGAAUGACACUCUAACUGUCACAGUACACAACAUAACUAUCUUGUUUAACAUCUAGCUCUUAUAGAAAGUUCUUCAUCCACAAGGGUUUUUUGCAAUUUUCAGUGACUACAAUAUACUCUACUUUUGUGGUAGAUAAAGCAACACAUUACUGAAGCCUGGACUGCCAUGAAACUGCUCCCCCUACACAGGUGAGCAAAUAUCAUGAUAAGGACUUUCUGGAAUCAACAUCUCCUGCCAUAUCUGCAUCCGCAUUCACUUGUAAUGCAUUCACUUGUAAUGCAGGUUUCUGGACUUUCUUAUAUGUUUGUGCUUGGUCAACUGGUUCUGCUGGACCAUUAUUAUUAUCUUCUUCAAUUCCCCCGUGAUCAUCAUGAACAACAGGUGGAUAAACUGAAGUCGGAAUAAUAGGAAUCUCUGGAGAUGACUGAGACUCAUCGCUUUUUGCUUCAUCACUAACUAUCUGAUCUUCAAGAAACACAAUAUCUCUACUUCUGAUUAAUUUUCUUGCCAUUGGAUCCCAUAAUCUGUACCCAAAUUCUUCAUGUUCAUAGCUUAAGAAAAUACAUUCCUUGGAUUUAUCAUCAAGUUAAAAAUCUCUUAUCUUUAGGGAUGUGAACAAAUGUUUUGCACCCAAACACUCUCAAGUGUUUAUAAGAAACAUUUUUCCCAGCCCAAACUAUUUUAGGUACAUCGCCAUCUAAUGGAGCUGAAGGAGAAAGAUUAAUCAAAUCAACAGUCGUACGCAUAGCCUCUAUCUAGAAUGAUUUGGGAAGCUUGGCAUCAGAAAGCAUACACCUAAUAUUUUCUUUAAUUGUUCUAGUCAUCCUUUCUGUAACACCAUUCUGAUGAGGGAUUUUUGGUACAAUCUUCUCAAGUCUGAUUGCAUGGGAUUUGCAAUACUGCUUAAAUAGUCCUGUGUACUCACCACCAUUAUCUACCCUGACACAUUUCAACUUUCUUCAUAUCCCUCUCUCAACAUAAGCAUGGAAGAACUUAAACAUAUUAAGGACCUAAUCUUUAGAUUUUAAAGCAAAAGCCCACACUUUCCUUGAACAGUCAUAAAUAAAAGUCACAAAGUAAAGUGCACCUUCUAUUGAUCUACUUUGCAUCAUGCAAACAUCAAUGUGAAUCAAAUCAAAGAUUUACGACUUUCUAGAUGGAUAAAAGCUUUUAAAAGCUACUUUAUGUGUCUUUCCAACUAAACAAUAAACAAAAGUCUUGAGAGACGUACCUACAAAGCUUGGUAGAAACCAUUUUCUGGCAAGAGUUUCUAAUCUUUUCUCACCAAUGUGACUAAGCCUUUUAUGUCAUGUUUCAAUGUUAGAAUCUUUUACAGCCAUAUUCACGUUUUCUUUCUUGAUCUUGGCUUUUAUUACGUAGAGAGUGUUCAUUUUCUUUCCUUUAGCCAACACUAGAGAGCCUUUGGUGAGCUUCCAUUUUUCUUCACCAAAUUGAUUAGUAUAACCAUCAUCAUCAAGUUUUCCUGUGGCGAUCAAAUUAAGGCAAAUAUCUGGUACAUGUCUGACACCUUUAAGGAGUAACUUACAGCCAACACUGGUUUCCAAGCAAAUAUCUCCCAUGCCCACAAUCUUGGAUGCCCCUUCACUUCCCAUUUGAACAUGGCCAUAAUCACCAUUAACAUAGGAUGUGAAGUAAGCACAAUGCGUAGUAACAUGAAAUGAAGCACCCGAAUCAAUCACCCAAUCACUGGUAUGGCAAGUGAGAUUUAUAGAGCUAUCAUCAUAAACAAUAUUCAUAUCACCAUUAACUACGGCUACAAUAUUCUCUUUGUCAUUUUUUUGACCAUCGCGUUUUUCUUUUGCUUGUUCUCUUUUCCAUAAUAUACACUCUCUUUUAACGUGCCCCAUUUUCUGAUAGUGAAAGCACUUCAUGUUUCUCCUCUGGGACUUAGAUCUGCCUUUAGGGUUAUCAUUAUGCUGCUGACGAAAAUAUCUACUUUGACUUCUCCCCCGUCUUUCUUGGUUUUCUAAAAUAAGUGCAACUGACUUAGAGGAAACUACUUCAACAUUCUUUCUUCGAGGUUCUUCAUUUCGUUGUCUAUCUGUAACCAUAUCCAAGGUUAAUUUACUAUUCGGCGCUGAAUUAUUCACUGACACUACUAAUGUCUCCCAACUGUCAGACAAAGAACUAAGCAACAACAGUGCUUGUAACUCAUCAUCUAGAAUGAUCUUCAUAGUAGUCAACUGAUCAACCAAGCCUUGAAACUCACUAGUGUGUUCAGUUAUACUGCGACCCUCCUUAUAUUUCAAGUUAACAAGCUUUUCAUCAGAUUGGCUUUAUUUUAUGCUAUCGGCUACUCAUAAAUUGUUUCUAAUUUUCUCCAAAGCACAUCAACCUUAGAUUCUUUCGCGACAUGAUGGUACAACUCUGAUUAAUUCACGACUUAAUAGUACCCACGGUCUUCUGGUUCAAUUGAGCCCAUUUCUUAUCAUUUAUAUAAGCAGGUUUAGCUUCGUCACCUUCAAUAGGUUCAUGUAAGUCUUUCAUGUAGAGUAUAUCUUCCAUUCUAGACUUCCAAAUACCAUAAUUCCACGACUUCAAUUAAUCAUGAAUGCUGAAGACUCCUCUAUUUCAACCACACAAGAAAUAAAAACACACAACCUCGCUCUGAUACCACUUUGUUGGGCAAGGGACUACCACAAGCAGUUGUAAAUUAAGCAGAAACAAAAUUUUUUCCCAGUUUGUGUGAUUAAAAUAAGAUGUGGACCACAAACAAAUAGGUAGAAAAUAAACCAACAAAUCUAAAAUAAUAAAUCAACCACAAGAGAUACCAAUUUUUAUGUGGAAAACCCAAAUCGGGAAAAAUCAUGGGGUCGUAGUCCGAUAUAAACAUGCACUAUAUUAAUGGAAUUAUAGCACAAAUUCUUCUCCAGAUAACACUAGAGGCUAACAACAUCAAGAUUCUCAACAAUCUUGCCUUAUAAUAAUAGAUCUAAAAUAUAUUUCUCCAAUAAAUGAGUAUCUCAAACAACAGCUAUCAAGGGAAUAAAAUACAGAUCAACACCAGUAGAAAUGUAGAGGGCGAUGUCAAGAACUUACCCUUCAAAUUUGGGAGAAAUCGGAGCUAAAAUCACAUUCUGAUUGUUUGAUCAAAGAUUGAAACCCCAAAUAAAUCUUUCUCUCUCGCAGAGUCGUCUCUCUUCACGUAAUGGCUACAGUUCUCGCGAUUCUUCGUUUAUUUCCUUUAUAUAUAUUUUUUUGGUUAAUUUCAUCCAAGUCUAAAAUUUUACAAUUAUUACACAUCAAGCAAGUUAUUUUAGACUUUGGGCUUUUUAGUCCACCGAAGUGAGAUGGACCCUACACAGAAUAUAUCCAUGUGAUCGGAAAACGAGACGUUACUCGCCUUACGUACAGAUGUCGAAGCGGUCGUUCGUUAAGUCUCCAAACUACCACCAGAAGUUCGCUGAAGUGGUUGAAAAGUCUACUGAAGGGUUAACUGCACAUUACUGGGCUUGUUUAGUGUGAAUUUUGUAAUGUAUGUAUAUGCUUUUGUUGAUUAAAAUAACAAUAUGCUUGGGUACUUUUCGGUGGCUUAUUUUGUAAUGAAUGAAGCUGGGGAAUUGCUUUUCACAUUUUGGGAAUUGCCGAGACACUUCAGGAUAUUCAAAAAGACAUUUACAGAAUUUUUCCUUCCCUUUAAAGAAAAGAAGGAUUCCAAUGAAGUGAUAUUGUUGUAAUUGUUGAAUCGACGUGUGAUAUUUCGAAUUUGUUCAAAAUUGCAACUUGAAUCCCAACUAAUUAUGGAUAGCCAAAACAAUUCAGCUCAUUUGUUAGGAUCAUCUUUAUUAGUGGAAAUUAAUGAGAAAUUGCACCUUGAGGAGUGAAAAGGAAUUUUGACUUUCUUUUUCCCUUUAAAUCAUAGAAAAUGAACACACAAAUCAAAUGAUGGCAAGAAUGCCGCAGUGGAAUGGCUACUGUUAAAUUCUUUAAUUUUCUCAUUUAUGGUCUCGUUGCUUUUAAUGCAAUGCAGUUGCCCUACAUCAAACCAUUAAUUUUUUAUAACCAAUUUGUUCAUUUAGCCACCGAUGAGAAAAGAAUCCAACCACCGACUUUCAAGCUCGAAUGGUUUAACAUAAAAAUGUUUUCUUCCACUUUCUUAGAAGCUUCCCUUGCUGCAUCACUUUGAUGGGCUUAAAAUAUCUGGCGUGUAUUUCAUGUGGGAAUUUAACACUAGUUUAAUAUCUAUAUAUGGGAUGUUUGUGGAGUACAUGAUCGAGAAGUAAUAUGGAGUUUUUUUGUCUAUAAUAAAAUGGAUAAUAGCAGAAGAUACAUCGAUGAGAAACUAUUGUUAGCUCGAAUUCAAUCCACAGUUGCGGUUUGUUUUCUUGGCUUUCAUUUACAACGAAUCUUGAAGGUUUUUUUUAUUUUUAACAAAAGGGUGUUUUUUGUUAAGUAGAUGGGAUCAUUAGAAGACAAAGCAGUGCUCGAGUUGGAUCAUGAGAGCCUAGUGAAUCCCGGUUCAAUAGCGGUUAAGAAACCUUCAUUUAAGUUGUCCAAUGGCAGUUUAGAUGUUAGCAGUGGUUGAAAUGCAUAUGUGACCAGCAGUUGUAAUGGUGUCAUUGAGAGCAUCAAGGUUGUUGUAUUCUCUACAAAACUAAACAUACUGAUAAUUUUUGGCCUCGCAACUAUUGUUGUCGAUAAAACUUCUAAUGCUCAUGUGAGUGUCUAUUUGUUUUUGCUGCCAAUGUUUGUGUUUGUGCAAUACGUUUAUGAAGAUUGCGUUUCUUUUUAAUGUUGAUUUUGAUUUCCUUGCGUGAAUUUUCACGGUUGGGUUUUUGUUCUGAGCUUAUUAGGAAUCAUUCAUCUGGCUGAGCGUCUUGGUUUUGUAGCUGAGUAAGUUUCACUUGCAUUUUAUCUGUAUAAUUCUCUAUAUUACAUUUCAUUUACAUGAAUUUUCAGACCCUAGAUUACGAGAUCGGACUAUACAAGAAUUUGGUUAUGCUUCCAUUUGAUUGUAUCAAUAUUGAAAUCAUAAAUGAUUUCAUUAGUACCUAAUUUGCAGCUUGUGCUUAAUUUGAUGUAGGUGACCGACUUUCUUUAAAGGACCUACAGGCACAUUCAUUAUCAAUAAUUUGAGUGUUGAUCUCAUUUUUCUCCCUUUAGUUUACUGUAAAUCAUCAAAACUUUUCAAUAAUGAAGUUUCGUUUUGACAUCAUUUCUAUGAGCUUUUUAUUUCUUCCGCUUACCAAGCUCCUUUGUUAUUCAAGCUUCCAAAUACACGAGAAGCAUUUAUGUUUAUUUCUCUAAAAAACAUUUUUUGAAAAACAUGUUUGAGCAUCAAUUCGUUUACUGGGAUUACUCAAUGAUAAAAUAUCUUCUUAUGCCAUUUGUAGUUGGAGGUCUACUAAAUGCUACUUUUGGAAAUCUAACAGAAUUGAUAAUAUCAAUUUAUGCAUUAAAAAUGGACAUGAUGAGUGUAGUUCAACAAUCAUUACUCGAUUCCAUUUUAUCAAACUUGUUGCAGGUGCUAGUCUCUACUUUCUUCUGUGGGGGACUUGUGAAUGCAAAGAGGGAGCAAGUGUUUAGUAAGGUCCAUUAGCAUUUUGAUCACAUUUCAUAUCUUAGACCAAGGGGAAAAUUCUUUGUUGUUCUUUAACUCUUUAUGUCCAUUACUAAGUUUGUUUAUUUUAUGUCCAUUUAUAAGUUUGUUUAACGUAUAUCUAUUUAUUGACAGGCAGUUCAUUAAGUGAACUGCGGAUUGCUGCUGAUGGCAGUAAUGGCUUUAUUGUUCCUUGCUGCACACACCGAGCUGCAUUUUGAGAAGUCUAAAUUGUCCCUCUCAAGAUUUAGUAGUUGUGCCAUGCUUGUGGCUUAUACUGCCUAUCUAUAUUUUCAGCUGAAGAGCUAGUGGCAACUAUGUGAUCAGGUUAGUUAGGUUCUUCAUUGUAUAUUGCCAACCUUUAAUGAGUGUAUACUUUGUUCAAUGGUUGUUAAAUUAUUUUGUUUAUGUCAACUCAGGAAGAAAGUCAGAUUGAAGGGAACUGAAAUAAUGAUGAAGUUCUUGAAAUAUCAAAACGGGAAUCUGGAUCCCUAUCCUCUCAGAAUAUUUGGCUGAUUGUUGGUUAUUUUUUAAUCAAAUGCUAUUGAUGCCAAUUUGCAAGUGCACACAACAAGUAAUAAAGUGAUGAAUAUUUAAGAUCGUCUCCACAGGAAUUGAUGUUACUAGAAAUGCUAUAGCAAUCACAAUAGCGCAAUCUACCUUGACUCCGAGAGGAACAAAUGUAAAGUUGGUUACUAUUGAAAUUGAUAAUUGUGAGAGAAUAAAAUGAAACAAUGAAGUAAUGAAAUAAAUUAAAUAAAAAUGCGUCGAAGAAUCAAAUGAGAAUAAGGUAGUUGAAUGAUCAAACUCUCUUUAUGGGUUGACUGUUUUUCAUCAAGUUAACACAAGUUGCUACAACAAUUUCUAUAGCAUUGGGCAGAAUUUAUUGUGCAUCCUCAGCUGUCGCAUAUUGGAAUUCUUAUACCCGUAAGUAUCUUAGCAAUGACCAGUUGCUAUUCUACCUAUGGUAUGACAUUAUGAACAUCCAUUCUCUCCACCCUACAAGGUGAGUACCUAUGUCUAGUUCAUCACAAAUUUUAACUUCAAGUAUGGCCCUUAUGGGAUUCAAGAUAAACUUAAUCCAGGAAACUUAAAUUAAGAUCAAGUAUUACUCUAAUAAUAUCCACUAAGACAAGCCAUUUUGCGGCUCUAUCUUAUCUUGAACCAUUAAAUGGGUGGUCAACCGAAAUAACAGUUAUAAUAAUAACUACUAGAGUAAAAUGCUACAACAAUGACAUAGCAACUCAUAAGAACAGUCAAGAACACAUUAGAUCGUUUGUCACUCAACUACAAUCAAGUUUAGUUAAUAUUCUGAAAGAGAAAAACAAACAACAACAUAUUGUUCACGAAAUACAUUAGAUCAGUUAAAAAGUGAAGAAAUGUAUAAAUCAAGAACGGUUAAAAGUGAAUCCAAAUAACUCUGCUGGAUUUUUCAAUGAUGUUGCAUAUGUUCCCUUGAAUUCUGAUCUUUUUCUUCUUUUUCUAUCCAAUUUCUCCAAUGAUAAUUCUUUUCCCGCCAUUUUAUGUGAUACGCGCCUCCUUUUAUAACUGAAAACUAAGGUAAACAAAAGCCUCGGGCGUACAUGAGUUAAAUUAGGAAACUGCAGAUCGCAAUUCUGGAGCUAACCCACGCUAAAUUUUCUCCCUCGGUGUUCCAGGAUUGCUACAGCAAUGGUUGCUCCAACAACAGCUAUAACACUACACUGUUCCCAGUUGUGUUUCACUUCUUUUGUGGCCAUAUUCUUUCUUCUUCUUGCUAGCCUAAUAUCUCAGCAUCCCCUCAUGAAUUAUGAACUUUGAAAACCUACAAUUAUGCACAUGUUUUGAGCACAAAUUACUUUAAAUCAAGCAAAACUUAUUAAGACUCAACUAAAAAGGAUGUUUAUGCAAAAUAUAACCAAAAUAUAAUAAAAACACAUCAUUUACUCUCUAAGUGGUGUUGAUUUAAGUCUAGAAUUGCCGUAAUAACUCUCAUUUCAUAGAGUUAUCACUGAUGUUGUCGAGGUACCAUUUCAAGUCAAUAUACACCAGAUUCUGUUGUGUAAUAAAUUCGGCAUGCCUUCUGUAUAUGUUGACACACUGCACAAUCAUUUGUACCAUUCGUUAAUAAAAUCAAUAUUUCAACUGUCCAAUCAAUUUAAUUACAUCUUGUUCCUUGAUACUUACUAGUUUUCUCUAAUGAUCAUUUUUAACAUACUAAAUAUGUUGACACACUCCGGUCAGAGAAUUUUAUGAUCAAGUGCCGAAAACUCAUCAAGAGAUGUGUUGUACAAAUUCUAUAUUGUUAAUCUAUAACUCCAAAACUCAUAAUUACUCCCGUCAAGAUACCAAGUAAUCUUGACUACAAGUGUGUGUCGUGCUCAUUGGUAACUCAAAUGGAAUAACAAUUAUAAUCAUGAAAUCAUAAUUAACUCAAGAUUAAGAUUACAAUAAAAUCAAUGCCUAUGAUAUUUAAUAAGUCUGACAGUUAUUCCAAAGUUAAUUAUAUCUCAUAUGUAAUCAUGUUCAAUGUAGUCAUACUACAUUAAUAAAUUCAUACAUGAUUAAGACAAAUCAUUUAAUGAAUUUAUUACAAUUUAUACCUAAAUAAAGUACCCAACUUUAUUUAUCAACUGCGAACUUAAUUUAUUUGAUCAUAAGAUAACUUGUAUUUAUAUCUUCUGUGAAUCCACAUGGUGAUCACAUAAAUACAUAUAAUAUGAUUAAAUGGAUUUUACUCAAAAUAUUAAUGCAAUUAAGAUACUUGAAUAAAAUACCUCAUUUAUUUUAUUAAUUAGAAAAAUUAUUUAUUACAAUUAAAUAAACACAUAUGCUUUUAAAGAGUAUAUUUUCCCAACAGUUGGCUGGUAAUCGAAAAUUAUCUUUGAUAUGAGCUUUCACCCAAAGAUAGAACUAAUUAAUCUUCAAUAUCUAUAGUUUUGUCAAUAGCCCUAAUCUUAAUUUAACUUUCGUUUUAUUUUUCUUACAUAAAAAUUACACCAGACAUUACUGAAUGAGCCUAAUAAUACACAUAACACAAAUUAAGGCAAAAUUUAAAAAUUAACAACUUUCUGCUUUAGCUUAAGAGUAGUAGUUUUCAAGACUGUUAAAAAUAAUUUUACAAUGCAUGAUUUGUAAUCAAUCUUUAGAUGAAAUCGGACGAAAUAUUGCUGCUCAUCAUGAAUAAUUAUAUACUUUUGGAAAUAUCAAUCAUUAGAAACCUUGACUUUAUCUGUCUUAAACUUUAAGAGAUGACACAGAUAAAUAAAUACUAGAGCUUCAUGGUAUUUGUUUCCUUCCCGUACCAUCGUCGUGCCACUACCGACCAUAUAUAUAAAUAAUUUAUGAGUAGGUUUGCUUUUUUAACCUCUUUUUACUCUAUACUAUAUAGAUCCUAGGAAGAUACUCAUAAAGAAUGAGGACUCACCUUAUAUUUAUAAUAAUAUAAUAAGAAGCCAAAGGGGAAAAAGAAAAUUCAGUAUAUUCGAAAGGAAUAUGUAUGGCAUGUCGUUUUGGUCUUAUAAGAACGCACGCCAUGUCGUUAGAAAGCUAAAAGGCGCGUAUGACAACAAAAGAUGUCAUCUCUAAUUUCCGUGUUGUUUAAGGAUUAGGGUUCCUUUUGAGUUUUGGAUUAUAAGCCUAUAUAAAGGAAAACUUCCAAGCAAGCAUUGUCCCCAGUUGACUUGGAAACCAAGCUUCAGGAAUUUGAAUUUUCUUCAUCAACAAAAACAUGUGCAUUUGCUCAAGAAAUUUUUCCUAGAAUUCCCCGUAAAGAAUCCAAUUCAAAUCUUUAUCAGAAACAGGAAACUAAUGUUGCUCUUUUGGUGAAGAAACAAAAGACUAACACUAUUUUAGACGCCACUCAUGAUGAUGCCGAUGACGAUGUUAUAAGGAUCACUGCUUGUACUAAUAAGAAACGAUUUAGAAAGAGGAUAGGAAGUGAAGAAGAUGAUGAUGAUGAGGGGAUUGCAAGUGUGUAAAAAGAGAUAUGGGUGGUUAGGAGACGGAUUCCCUGAGAGGAGGAGGAUGAUGAUUCGGAUUCAGAGGCAGAAAGAUUGCGGGAUCAAAAAGGAAAUGAAGAAUUAAAACGACAUAUCAAAGAAUAUGAUGUCGCAGUAACACGGAAAUUAACAGGGCCCAAGUUGACGCAAAUGGAGGAAGAUGACGCAAUGCGGAGAUAAAGAAAAGAUGAUAGAAUUGAAAAUUUAAGAGAAGUUUCAAGACAAAAUUAACAUGACCCGCCCCGACCUACAUGUCAAAUCCAAGGCGAAUCGUGCGGACUAAAUACUAAAACUCAUGGCACAAAUUUAAUUCAUGAAAAUAUAUACAUAAAACAUGGUCUCUAAUAUAAGCACAUAACAACCUUUGUGUCUCAUCUAAAAAUAUAUAUUCAAAACUUGUGCAAUUCAUGUCUCACUAUGCACACUCACACCAAGACUAUAUCUAUAUAUAUAAACAUAAGCACAUAAACAUGCUCAAAAUGCAAGUUAUUCAGUAAUAAGUCUCGUGGCCUAACCUCCAGUAACUAGAACUGAUCUGCACGAAAUCCUGCGGAAACCUAGGAGGAAGUGGGUAAAUAGGAAAAUAGUGAGCUUGCGGCUCAGUGAGUGGAUGUAAUUAUAUAUUAAAAAUAAUAAAUAUAAUAAUAAAGUAGUGUACUAGUGCAUAUGCAUAAUCAUGUGAUUUAACUCCACACUGAACAUCAUACAUCAGCAGACAUGGAAUUCAUACAUACAUACAUCACAAACUGCACCAAAUAAUAUCUAAGGGGAAUAACUCUCAAUACUCGUCGAGAACAUCAUCGCACGAGGAGAGCGGGGAAAAGCCUCUCAAUACUCAGCGUAAUUAAACUAUCUUGCACGGGUAGAGUAACCUAUCUCUCAAUACGUAUGCGAAGAGUUUACAGGGAAGGGUAUGUAUAUGUUGUCUGGCAACCACAUCACAUGAGUCAAUCAAACAUAUAAUAUGCGUACAUGUAAUUAUAACAUGAUAUAAAAUCAUACUAUCAAACAUAAAUGCUUCACGGAAUACAUAAUAGUAAUAAUAGUAUCCACUCAGGAAUCUUGUUUCAGUCCAGGGUUUGUUGGGGCUAUUGUGGGUCUCUAGACUCGUGGAUUUCUCCUAGAAUACGAGAUUAAAAAAUUAAUAGUUAGAACUGAUAUAAAAAGUUGUACGUAUAACGUAAAUUAAAUCGUAACUGCUUGGAUUUCAUAAAUCAAUUACCCACUAACUCAUUUAAUAUAAAUCUAACUGUCCAUUCUAAUUUCCGUAAUAUUUCCUCUUAAUUCCACUUCGUCUCCCACACUCAGCUUCUUUCUAUUUCUUUUCUUUUCUUUUUCCUUUUCUUUUCUCUUAUCUUUUUCUUUCAGUUUUUCUUCUUUUCUUCUCUUGGUUUUGCUUUCACUUCGAAAAUGGAAGCACAAAUGAGAGCUGCUUUCAAUUAUUUCAAAUUAUAUAUACCUGGCUACUAACUCACGAGUGAAGCAUGCAAGUGAAAUAUGCAUGUGGCAAGCAAGGAGUAAAGUUGGCAUGUGGAGAAGUGGUGAAACAGGCAGCUGGCUGUUGCUUUUGAAAUCAGCCACGUUUGGCUCUUUUUUUUUUCCAAGCAAUACAUGACAAAAAUACUUGCCAAAAAGGGCGCAAAAGAAACUGGAGGAAAUCAAAGAUCGUAUAAAGGAUAAGGAAAACCUGUUUGAAGGUCAGAAGCUUACUGGCGCAUUGUGGAAAAAUGAAGAUGAAAGCUGCAUUGUGGAAAAAUAAUUGCUUGGUAGCAAUUGGAGAAAGGCCCAUGGAGAUAACUGAUGACAAGUAGAACGAGAUAGAUGGCAAUGCCAUUUCUGAUCUACACUAGGCACUUAUGGAUGGAGUAUUAUCCAGUGUGGCAGAGAAAAAUACAGCGAAGGAAAUAUGGGAUACUCUAACAAAAUUGUACGAGGCCAAGUCACUAUACAACAAAAUCUUCUUGAAGAAGAAACUCUAUACUCUUCAAAUGGUAGAAUUUAUAAUGGUGACCGACUACAUCAACACCUUGAAGACUCUAUUUUCACAACUCACAACAUUGGGUCAUAAUAUAGAGGAGAAUGAACGUUCAGAGCUUCUACUUCAAAGUUUACCAGAUUAGUAUGAUCAACUCAUCAUCAACCUAACGAACAACAAUCCAGCGGACAAUCUAGUUUUCGACGAUGUUGCAGUCUCUGUAUUAAAUGAGCAAAGCAGGUGGAAAAAUAAGGAAAACAGACAAGCAAGUUCGCAGCAAGUGGAGGCACUAUCGGUGACGAGAGGGAGAUCAACGGAACGUGGCCCCAGUGGGAGUCACAAUCAUGGUAGAUCAAAAUUCAGAAAUAAAAAGAAUGUUAAAUGCUACAAUUGUGGUAAGAAAGGACACGUCAAGAAAUAGUGUUGGAGUAACCAGAAGAAAAUAGAAGGCAAAGAACCUGAGUCAUCAAAUGCUCAGGAGUGUGUAGCAAGUACCUCAGAUGAUGGCGAAAUUCUCUAUAGCGAGGCAAUAACUGUUUUAGAAGGCAGAAAACGAUUAUCUGAUGUCUGGCUCAUAAAAUCAGGAGUUACCUGGCACAUGACCUCUUGGAGAGAAUGAUUCCACACAUAUGAACCUAUCUUAAGAGGAUCUGUAUAUAUGAGAGAUGAUCAUGCCUUGGAGAUCACUGGUAUUGGUACCAUCAAAAUCAAAAUGUUUGAUGGUACAAUUCGCACAAUUAGGAAGGUAUGACAUGUCAAAGGCCUAAAGAAGAAUUUAUUGUCUCUGGGACAAAUGGAUAGUCAUGAGUACAAAACUUAUAUGGAGAAUGAAAUUAUGAAGAUCGUGAAAGGCGCGCUUGUAUUAAUGAAGGCAGAAAAGAUCGGUACUAAUCUAUUCAUGCUUAAAGGAAAAAUACUACAGGAGACUGAUGCGUGUGUCACAUCAAAUGGAGAAGUGUCAACGAUGAUGUGGCAUCUCAAACUUGGCCAUAUGUCAGAACAAGGUUUGAAGAUUCUCUCUGAGCGAAAAUUACUUCCAGGGCUCAAAUCGAUAAGUUUACCAUUUUGCGAGCAUUGUGUUACAAGUAAGUAGGAUAGAUUAAAGUUCAGUAGAUCUGUUAGUAGAAGUAAAUGCAUUUUAGACUUGAUUUAUUCUGAUGUUUGGGAAUCGCCAAAUAUGUCCAUGGGAGGUGCAAAGUACAUAGUGACUUUCAUUGAUGAUUAUUCCAGGAGAUGUUGGGUGUAUCCAAUUAAGAAAAAGUCAAAUGUAUUUACAGUGUUUAAAUAAUACAAAGUGCGGGUGGAACUUUAAUCUGAUAAAAUGAUCAAGUGCUUGAGGACAAAUAAUGGUGGAGAGUAUACAGACGACGAGUUUCUUUCUUUCUGUAAGCAAAAAAGUAUUCAGAGGCAGUUCACGGUGGCAUACACUCCUCAACAAAAUGGAGUGGCGGAGCGGAUAAAUAGAACUCUUACAGAAAGAGUAAGAGAUAUGUUAAGGACUGCUGGUCUACCCAAUUCAUUUUGGGCAGAAGCAACCAAAACUACCAGUUAUAUAGUAAAUCGGUCACCAUCCACAACAAUUGGGCUGAAGACAGCGAUGGAGAUAUGGACUGGAAAGCCAGCUGAUUAAUCAUACCUACAUGCAUUUGGAUGUCCUGUGUACGUGAUGUAUAAUGCCCAAGAAAGAACAAAGUUAGAUCCAAAAUCUAGGAAGUGUAUCUUCUUAGGGUAUACUGAUGGAAUAAAGGGGUAUCGUCUGUAGGACCUCACUGCCCACAAGAUCGUCAUCAACAUAGAUGUUAUUUUUGUAGAAGAUCAACUGCAAAGGAAAUAUGCAGAUAAUGGCACUGUAAAAGAAAAGUCAGAGACUGUGCCGGUAUAUGUGGAAAAUAAUCUAGAAGAUUUAGAUUCUUCUGAAGCAGCACUAGAGCACGAGGAACAAGAACCAGUCGAGUCCGAGACUCCAGAAGUUCGUCGGUCAACUCAUGAGAGACGACCGCCAGCGCGGCACUCGAGUAUGUCACAGAGAUCAAUGUUGCGUACUGUCUUCUAACAGAGGAUGGAAAGCCAUCAACUUUCCAUGAAGCUUUAAAUAGCUCAGAUGUUACUUUGUGGAUGAUAGCAAUGCAGGAAGAAAUUGAAGCUCUACAUAAGAACAAGACAUGGGAACUUGUACCGCUACCACACGGAAGUAAAGCCAUUGGAAACAAAUGGGUAUACAAGAUCAAACAUGAUGGUAAUAAUCAAGUGGAGCGGUAUUGUACAAGAUUGCUGGUGAAAAGAUAUGCUCAGAAAGAAGGUAUUGACUUCAAUGAGAUAUUUUCUCUGGUAGUUUGACUCACGAUAGUCAGAAUAGUCUUGGCAAUGUGUGCUACAUUUGACCUAUAUCUAGAGCAGUUAGAUGUGAAAACUACAUUUCUUCAUGGAGAACUUGAAGAAGAAAUUUAUAUGCUCCAACCAGAAGGUUUUGCUGAAAAAGGAAAGGAGAACUUGGUUUGCAGGUUGAAUAAAUCUUUAUACGGUCUCAAACAGGCGCCAAGGUGUUAGUAUAAGAGAUUUGAUUCCUUCAUCAUGAGCCUUGGAUACAGCAGACUCAAUUCAGACCAUUAUGCAUGUUACAAGAGGUUUAAAGAUAAUAAUUUCAUUAUUUUACUGUUGUACGUGGACGACAAGUUGGUAGCAGGCCCCAACAAAGAUCGAGUCUAAGAAUUGAAGGCACAGUUGGCUAUGGAGUUUGAAAUAAAGGACUUGGGACCAGCAAACAAGAUUCUAGGGAUGCAAAUUCAUCGAGAUAGAAAUAACUGGAAGAUUUGGCUUUCUCAGAAGAACUAUUUGAAUAAAAUCUUGCGAUACUUCAACAUGCAAAAUUGUAAGUCAAUUUCUACCCAACUUCCUGUUAAUUUCAAAUUAUCCUCAAGUAUGUGUCCUAGCAAUGAAGCAGAUAAGAAGGAGAUGUCUCGAGUACCGUAUGCAUCAGCAGUGGAAAGUUUGAUGUUCGCUAUUAUAUGUACUAGACCAGACAUUGCACAAGUAGUGGGAGCAGUCAGUCGAUACAUGGCGAAUCCUAGUGGAGAGCAUUGGAUAACUGUAAAGAGGAUUCUGAGAUACAUCAGAGGAACCUCAGAUGUUGCAUUAUGUUAUGGAUGAACAUAGUUUACUGUCAGAGGCUAUGUGGAUUCAGAUUUUGCAGGAGAUCAUGAUAAAAGAAAAUUCACUACUGACUAUGUGUUUACAGUUGCAGGAGCAACUAUAAGCUGAAUUUCAAAACUGCACACCAUUGUGGCCUUAUCUACAACAGAAGCAGAGUACAUGGCAGUUACACAAGAUGGCAAGGAAGCUAUUUGGAUACAAAGGUUAUUGGAGGAGCUUGGACACAAACAACCGAAAAUUCAUGUGUUUUGGGACAGUCAGAGUGCCUUGCAUAUUGCAAGGAAUCUAACCUUUCAUUCUAGGACAAAGCACAUAGGGGUACAAUAUCACUUCAUUCGUGAAGUAGUAGAAGAUGGAAGUGGCGACUUGUAGAAAAUCUAUACCAAUGAGAACCUAGCAGAUGUUUUAACCAAGCCAAUCAAUGCUGACAAGUUUAUCUAGAGUAAAUCCUCUUGUGGCCUAGCAGAAAUGUAAGCAACAUGACAAUGGCUAAGCAGCAAGGAUGGUGUGGAGAUUGAUUGGUUCCCAAUCUAAUCUUCAUGUGGGAGAAUGUCAAAGCAAGCACCUAAAAGUCAGCACUGAAUUUGGUACUUGACUUUAGUGCCAACAAAUCAAAGAAAAUAGAGAACAUGGCCCACAAAUUUUGAAAGCUAGAUUGAAAAAAUUGAAGCCACGCGGAUUGACGAAAUUGAAACCAUAAUUGUUGGGCUAAAAUCGUUGAUUUUUUUGCCAUUAUUUUGCUAUAAAUAGAAGUGCAGAUGAAGAGCUGAAGCAUUCCAUCGAGAGAGAAGCAUUUCCUUCCUUUAGAGAGUUGAGAGUAUUAAGAGUUUAAUAAACUCUUGAGUGAUUAGUGUUUUGAGAGUUUGGGUGUAUUAGGAUUUUGGGUAGUGAGCUAAAAUACUACAAUACUUGUAACUCCUUUUCACUAGUAAACUUUUUUUUUUUUCUCUUCGCCCGUGGAUGUAGGCUAAAAGCCAAACCACGUAAUUUCUUGGCGUCCCUGUGUGAUUUUGUGUCUCAUUAUUUCUCACUUUCAUUUUAACUACGUGUCUAUUUCACCCAUCAAUUUCCUAACACCUGGUUGGUCAUAAGGGUUUGCAGCGUUGUAGUCAUGAGAGUGAUGGGGACAAAAUGAACCCAUUUGAUGCCUAGGAGAAACAACAAAGGGAAAAAAACAAACUUGAAAUACGGUUCAAAAAAUAAAAAAGCAGCAAUCUGAUGAUUAUCAGUAUGUGUUUGAGAUUGAGGACAUAUUUGUUGACUUUUUUAGGGAAUCUAUGUUUGAUGGUGACAAUUUUGAUGAGUUUGACAGAGAGUUAUCUAACAAGUCUGUGGUAAAAUCAGCCUUCGAGAUGCUUCAGGAGGAGAGAAAAACUUUACCUAUCUGUCCAUUUCGUGAGGAAUUGCUUCAAGCUGUAAGUGAAUAUCCGGUCCUUGCUAUAGUCAGAGAAACAGGUUCUGGGAAGACUACACAGAUACCUCAAUAUCUUUAUGAGGCUGGUUACACCAAGCAGGGAAAGAUUAGAUGCACUCAGCUGUGGCGGGUUGCCGCCAUGAGUGUUGCUGCUCGAGUUUCUCAGGAAAUGAGUGUCAAGCUGGGGCAUGAGGUUGGUUAUUCCAUUCGUUUCGAAGAUUGCACUUCAGAUAAGAAUGUCUUGAAGUACAUGACAAAUGGUAUGUUAUUGCGAAAGAUUGCAAAGAAGUUCAACGAUUACUUUGGUUCAGCACCAAUUUUCAAAAUUCCAGGGAUGAGAUAUUCUGUUGAACUUUUUUAUACGAAAGCGCCUAAAGCUGAUUAUAUAGAAGCAGUUAUUGUCAUCGCUACAGAUUCAUGUGAAUACGCCUACUGGAGAUAUUCUGGUCUUCUUUACUGGUCGUGAUGAAAUUGAAAUAGCGGAGGCGAUUUUGAAGCAGAUGAUGAGGGGCUUUGGAACCAAAAUAGUUGAAUUGAUUAUCUACCCCAUUUAUACAAACCUACCAAUUGAGCUUCAAGUAAAAAUAUUUGAACCUACACCAGAGGGGGCUCGAAAAGUUGUUCUUGUGACAAAUAUUGCUGAAACAUCAUUGACAAUAGAUAGAAUUAAGUAUGUUGUUGAUCCAGGUUUUGCCAAGGUGAAAUCACAUAAUCCAAAGACCGGAAUGGAGUCAUUGUUAGUAAACCCCAUCUUUAAAGCUUCAGUCAAUCAACGUACAGGUCGCUCUGGAAGAACAGGUCCAGGAAAAUGGUUUCGGUUAUACACUCUGUACAAUUAUCACAAGGAUAUGGAUGACAAUAUUAUGCCAGAAAUACAACGAACUAAUCUGGCAAAUGUUGUCCUUAUUCUCAAAUGUCUUGGGAUUGAUGACUUGGUAAAUUUCAUAGACCCGCCAUCAGAGGAGGCACUACUCAAAGCCCUUGAGCUACUUUAUGCUCUCGGUGCAUUAAAUAAAGCUGGUCAACUAACUAGAGUUGGCAGGCAGAUGGCUGAGUUCCCUAUUGAUCCUAUGCUAUCUAAAACAAUAGUUGCCUCAGAUAAAUACAAGUGUUCAAAUGAGAUUAUCACCAUUGCUGCAAUGCUUUCUGUUGGAAAUUCAAUAUUCUAUCGUCCAAAGGACAAGCAAAUACCUGCAGACAAUGCAAGAAUGAACUUCCAUUUGGGAGAUGUUGGGGAUCAUAUUGCUUUGCUAAGGGUUUACAAUUCUUGGAGGGAAUGUAAUUACUCAACAGAGUGGUGCUGUAAUAAUUAUAUUUAGGUCAGGAGUAUGAAGCGUGCCAAAGACAUAUAAGACCAACUGGAGGGACUUCUUGCCAGGGUUGAGAUUGAAGUUAGUUCCAAUCUCAAUGAUUUAGACUCCAUAAAAUUUCCAAACUUUAUGUGAAAGACUUUUUCGUAUAUGGUCUAAAGCCAAUUCAUCAUAUAUUUCUUUAUCAGUUCUCAUAGAUGUCGUAAUAAAUCCUUGAUUACAUACACAGCUGCGAUCUUAAUUAGGAAAAUGACACUUACAGAACAUUUAGCACUACGCGCAGCACCAAACGGUGCAUUUUGAGGCAACUAUAGCACACACUCUCUCCCUCAUGCUCUUCCUCACGCUCUCUCUGUUCUUCCUCACAACACACGACUCUCUCUCUCUCUCCCCCUUUAAACCCAGCAGUCGUGGGUCAUUCUCGCUCUCCCCCCUCCAAAUCCAAGAUCUAUGGUUGCAUAAUAAAGUAAAUAGCAAUUCCCAUCCACUUUAGUAACAAAAAAUUGGCAACUUCUGUGAUUGUGGUGAGACGUUUCCCCUAGUAAUGCUAAGUACAACAAAGAAACCAUCAAUUCUUUACACAUAUCGAUGCCAAAAACAACCGUAAACUCAGCUCCUUUAGUUGCUAGUUUAUACCAGUACCAAUAGAGCAAUAGGUUGUGGUUGGGGCUGUUAGAUAUGGAAAUAAUUGAGGCAAAAUUAUUUUAUGCAAUUGUUGGCUUGUGUCGACUUUUGAAAGGAAACUUGUUUUUGGGCUAUCAAUGUUACUUAUUUGUUAGUUUAUUUCUUAGGUUUUGUUGUUUGGGAUAUUGCGUAUUGGAUUUUAUUUCCUUUUGCCUCUGGUAUGGCCCCUAAUAGAACUUGAUGUAAUUCUUUUUGUGAUAUGUUUAGAAAUUUUUAUCUUGGUUCAAUUUGAUUCUAAAACUAAGUAAGAACUCCUAUUAUCUUUUCCUUUAUAGAUUUUCUAUUUUGUCUUUUCAUAAUAUAUAUAAAGGAUAAAGCCCACGCAUUGUAGGUAGGUCAAGAAAGUACCCUUUGAUCUAAUACAACAACGCAGGCAUGACAAAUCUAGAUUAUUAAAAUUAUUUUAGGCAUUUUUCACGUUUUGUUAUUUUUAUCGAAUCCUAUCUCCCACCGUUACUUAUUUUUGGACAACUCACAAAUUCCUUGAAAAAACAUAAGAGGAGAAUUACAACAAAAAAUUCUACAUCUACGAAAAGGAGAUUUGUUUAUCUCAUAUCGAAUUGAAAUGGGGAAAUAUAAUAAUCUUCAUCAUGAAUUAUUAGAAAACAAUCCGUAGGAUUCACAUUUUACUUCAUUUUGAAUUUCGAGUCCAAAGACAAGCAUGGAGACAAAAUAACCCCCAUUCUAUAGAAAUUUUAGGAAUUUUCUAUUGAAAUUUUCUAUUGAAUAGUACGAAUAGUGCAUAGUUAUACAUCGCCUAGCAAGAAGAAAAGAAGAAAGAAAUUUUCUAGCACUUUCUUUCAAUACCAAUUGAAAUUGUGUUGUUGUGUUGAAAUUUUCUAGCACUUUCUUUCAAUACCAAUUGAAAUUGUGUUGCUGUGUUAGAAGAAGGAUAGCUAUACUGAUUCCGUAUAUUCUAAAAAUACCCUCGGUACUAUAACAAAGAUUCAAAUUCAAUGAUAUCUUUUAUAGAGAUGUCAUUGUUAACAUCUAGUCUUGUUAGGUCCAUCUCAUUUGGGUGUCCUAAUCCCAAAGUUUAAUGAGUGUGGGUAAUUAAGUAAUUAAAAGAAACUUAAAGGGUGCAAAUAAAAUUUGUCUAUAAAAGCAAGUGAAAGCCGCUACCUUAGAUAAUGUGAGCGUGCAGAAGAAACGGUAGGAGAGAGAGAGAGAGAGAGAGAGAGAGAAAAAGACAAUGGACGCUUUUAUUUGGGAAUAGUGAUUUCAAUCUUUAAUUAGACGAUCGGAAGGCGAAAUUAGCUUCACUUUCCCAAAUUUUGAGGGUAAGUUCCUGACAUCGCCCUCUACAAUCUUACUAGUUUUAUUUUUAUUUUAUCUUCUCUUUUGCUAUUAUUUGAGAUACUCACUUGUUAGAGAGACAAAUAUUAAGCUAUUACUGUAGUCAAGAAUAUUGAGAUUCUUAAUAUUGGUAGCCUCUAGUAUUAUCUAGAGAAAAAUUUAUGAUGUAAUCUCAUUAAUAAAGUGGAAGAUUAUAUCGGGUUACGGUCCCGUGAUUUUUCCUGCUUUGGGUUUUUCAUGUAAAAAUCUGUGUAUUUUGUUGUUGGUUUUUGGUUUGGAUUAUAUUAUUUUAUUUUUUUACCUAUUUAUUUGUGGUACACAUUGUUGAGUGUUAGAAAGUGUAUAUUUAUAAUGGAAAAAAUCUUUAUUUUACACUUCAAGUCUCACUAAAAUCUCUACGUUUAUGUAUUUAAGUUCCUUGUGAUUUAAUUAUGUGUGUUUUAUUAUAAUUAAGUAUUUUAUGUAUUUUAGGGGCAUCAUGGUCAUUUCACAAUGAACAAGAGAUCAAAUAGCAAAACAGACAGUAAUUCAAAACUCAGGACAGUCGAAAACCUUAGGAGAAGUAUAAAAGAAUAAACGACAUUGUUCACAUGUACGGUAUUGUUCACGGUACUAUUUAUGACACUGUUCACAUAUACGGUACGAUGAUGUAGAGUUAACUAAUGAUGUGGCAGUAUUCGAUUGGACGAAUAAUGUGGCAUUAACUGCUUAUGUAGCGUUGACCGAUGAUGUGUCACGAUCCUAUUGGACUAAAAUGAUUAUGUGGAGUUGACUGGUGACGUGGCAGUAUGUUAGUGGAUCGAAAAAACGUGCGUAUGAUACAUGCACAUACAUGGAAUGACAGCUCUAAUGAUGUGUUCUAUCCAAUAAGAACUGGCCACGUGGCGUAAUCUUGAGUGUCCAAAUUAUUUUAAUUUGAUGGCCAUGAUAUACUCAUUGUAUCUAUAAAUAGGGGAGGAGUCUCCUAUAAUUAGACACCCCUGAAUUCAUUUUUUAACUCUAUUUUCUGUAAUUCCUUCUUUAUCCUAUAUUUUCAACGUAUUUUAAUAAAUUUCUAUUUUACCCCUAGUUUAAUUAUGAGUAGCUAAUUUUCUUUCAAAUUUAGGUUAAAUAUGAAGUCUCAAUAUGUUCCAUGAGCUUAAUUUGGUAAAUUUACUUUCUCUUCCCCUUCGAUUUAUGUGGAUGUUUUGACUUUUCGUCGACAGAUAGUAAUAAUCUUGUCUAGUUAUUGCACUAGUAUAAUUGUCUCCCUAGUGCAAUGUUAUUACUAUUUGGCAUGAUAAGCAUUAUUUGACACCAUAUUUAUUUGAGUAUGGUUCAUGAGGAGUGGAAAUCUCCCCUCACGAUUUAAUUGGCACUAAUAAGAAAUAUUAAGAAUAUAGUUCAUGUUGAGUACAGAUUCAAAGACUCAAGCGCUUCAUUUUAAUAGUUUUCACUUAAGUUUAUUUCUACCAUUCUAAUUUAAAUUUUAGGAUAUUCUAAAUCACUUUCACCAUAAAUCCAACCACCUACUUAGAAAAUUAGCUCAACACGCAACUAAAAUCCACCUCCUUUUGGGAUCGACACUCAUCACCAUUGAUCUAUUCUACAAUAGAAUCAUGCACUUGCGAGUUCAUUAAAAUUUACACAAUACACAUCAUAUUUUAAUCACACAAAGAGGGAAAGAGUUUUGUUUUUGCUUAAUUUGCAGUUGCUUGUGAUAGUUCCUUUCCCAACAGGUUUUCUCUUUCAGACAGCUGAGAGAGUGAGGUGUCGUGAGAGAUGAAAUCGACAAGGAAGAGAGAGGGAGCCAACGGUGAGAAUGGUGAGGAAGAACAGAGCGUAGUGAGAUUAGUGGCUUGGUGAGGAAGAGCAUGAGAGAGAGAAUGAGAGAACGUGUGUUGUGGUUGAGAGUGUUGCAAUUGACGAUUUACUGUGAUCUUUUAUACUUGCAUCAAAACUCACCGUUUGGUGCUAUAUGGUGUGCUAACAUCAAGUCACAUGGCUUAGACCCACCAAGAAGAAAACACAUGCAUGAUCGCAUACAUUCUCUCAUGAUACAAUAAAUUAAAAUUGUAGAAAUUACAAGGUAGGUGGUGGUCAGAAUAAUAUCUAGUAACAAGCAUAUAUUUGUAAUUUGUUUAACUGAACCAAAAUGAGAUUGUGAAGAAAUAAUAAGACAAUCUCAAAAUGUUAGCAUACACUUCAUGACUAAGAUAACAUUUCUUUCACGUUCUUGACUUACAUAUUGCAUUCAUUCGAAGUUUCGAUAGCAGCUCUAUAUAUAUUUCACCUUCUUAACUUACAUGUUGCAUUUAUUCAAAGGACCUAUUUUGGGAUUACUUUUAAGAGGUCUAAAAAGUUAUUUUGGAAAGUUAGAAAUUAAUUUUGGUGUUUGUUAAAUUUUUUUAGAGAUCACUUUUGAUAAAAUCAACUCAUCUUAUAACAUAUCUAAAAAGAAGGGAAUGAAUACUUUUCAAAAUCUAAUUUUAAAAAUUACUGCAAGAAAACUGUUAAUAGAUGACAAAUAACUUAUGAUAAAUUCUAUGUAUAUCAUAAACUUAUGAUAGACUUAUGACAUAAUUUUCAAUCUAUCAUAAAUUAAUGAUGGUCUUGUGAUAAAAAUAUUUUCUAUCAUGAAUUUAUGAUGACUUUAUGAUAGGAUUAUCAUUUAUCACGAACUUAUGAUAGAAUCGUGGUAGAAAUUUAAUCUAUCAAGAAAUUAUGAUAGAAAAAUUACUUUGACCAUAUUUGACCCAAAUUUUAGAUAUUAUUUUAUUUUAAAAAACAAAAGGUGCUUUUUAAUAAUUAAAAAAAAAAAGAAAUACUAGCAAAAUUGUACCGUUUUAGGUACUUUAAACUUUUUUUCUUCCUUUUUUUUUCCUAAGUGUUAAACGAAUACACACUUAGAAAAUAAAACGCUGCUUCUCUCGUCUCUCUCGUUUUCUUUGUUUUUUUCUUUUCUUUCAUUUUCUCGAGAAACCAUAAAGAAAUUUUCUAGGGAACCAAACAAUUUACAAAUCCUUCGACAAACAGUUUACAAAUCCUUCGAUUCUGAAGGAAAAUGCAGUAUCAGAGGUUGAAGCAGCAUCAGCAGCAGCAACAAGCACUGGUGCAACAAGCACUUCUUCAACAGCGGCCUCUUAGCCACUCCUCAGGUCUAAUUUGUCAUUUGCAUGUCGUGAUUUCGAUUGUGUUUUCAUAAUUUCAAGCUUUGAUUUGUUCGCGCUAUUUAGGGUUAGCUUGUGUGAUUUCGAUGUUCUUGUUUGUUUUGGUUUUUAAUUUUCAAGUUUUGCUAGAGUUAGGUUUUGAUGAUUCUUGUUUUGUAAAAAUUGUUCAAAUUUCUGGGUGUUUGUUCAAAUUUUCAAGAUUUGUUCAAUUUAUUUUACUUUUCAAAUGCGUAUUUUCGAUCUCCUCAGUCAGCUCGCUGCCACUUCUUCAUUCUGUUUUAGGUUGGCGGCGACUAGGGUUGAUUUGGAGGGAAGCGUUUCAUCUGUCUCAGUAUCAUCAGAGACCUUGUCUAAAGAGGAAGCUUUACGGCAUUCAGAAGCCAUAAAAGAUUUCAGUUUGGGGUUUGCAGAAAGGGCUUUCUCUGCUGCCGGCGCUGCUAUCAUUUUUGCCGUUAUUGUUAAUCCUCUCGAUGUCGCUAAGGUUUUAUAAUGACUCUACUCCACCUAAAUUUUCAUUUCAUUUUUUCUUUAUUUAACUAAUUCAUUGCUAAUUUUGCUCUGUUAUAUUGAAAUUUUUCUUCCCUUUAAUUGUCAUUUUCAUUAUUUUUUAUUAUUGUUAGUAUUACUAUUAUUUUUUCUACUUUUGAGAAUCGUAUUGUGGAUAGAUGUUAAUUAUUGUUUCUCUUUAUCUUAAGAAUAGAAUCCAAAUGUUGUGUCAUUAUUCUCAGUCCUUGAGAAGCUAUGAUUCUUUCAGAGAAUGAAAGAAAAGGAAGCAAAAAGAUUGAAAAAUUAAAUUUUCUUUAUUCAGCUACUUUUCAAGAUUCUUUUACUAAUUAUUAUAAAUAUUUUAAACGUGGGCUAAAGUCGCCCAAUUAUUUUCUAAAUUUGAGUGAUGCUUGUUGCAUGGAUCCUCUAUCUCUUCUCCAGUUUUUUUCAAAAAUCCUGGUCUUCAUAUUGCUUCAUCUUUUGAGAUUUCAUGAUGAAGCUACAAAGCUAAUAGAUUUCCUGCCUUCAUCUUCAGACAAGGUUGCAAGCCCAGGCUGCUGGCGUUCCUUAUGAGGGUCUAUGUCGUACAGCAUCUUUUGAAAGUAACAUGGUAUGUGAACUGCCCUUUUUGGGAUUCUUUACUUUGCAUUGUACACUAUCCGAAAUGGUAUCUUAUGAGGAAAGAAAAUGCUUGAAACAUUGAUAUUGGAAAAAGUGGGGUAUCUUCUCUGUACAUGAACAGCCAUAUCAAGAAAAAAAUCUUCGUGUACUGAUAUCAAAAUGACUUAUAUUGAGCACACAUAACAGUCUUACCAAAACUGAGUGGUAUUUUACGUAAUGAAAUUUCAUCAAUUGCUAUUGUGGUCUAAGCUCUUGCCAUCGUCUAACUUCUGUAGGUACUAAAUGUAUUGAGUGUUAGAUAACUUGUUAAGAGAAUGAAUCCAAAUGUUUUAAAAAUGCAUGUCAUCUGUUUUGCUUUCCUCUGGUUUUCCCCCUUGGUUUGCUUUUGUUAAAUUUGUCUCCUCCUUUCCUUCAGUUAGUAUUUUGAGAGGGUUGGAAUGAUAAAUGUGAUAGAUGAAUUCUCUUUUCUGUUAUGAUCAUUAUGCAUAGACAUUACUAUUCUUACUGCUCUAUGUUAUAUGAUCUUGUGACGAGUGCUGUCUUUCAAAUUGUUUCUGUAGAGGCUUCCAGAUAUGAGAAAUUUUCCAUCAUGCACGUGUGCAGUUCCAGGCACUGAACCAGCUCCAGAAUGUAAUAGAUAUAAAGGAACACUGGAUGUUUUCUACAAAGUCAUACGCCAGGUUGGUGGAUACAAGGACUUUAUGAAUAAAUUACACAUAUAUCUGAUAAAAAGAACUGAAGUUUUCCAAAAGUGUAUAGUUUAUGCUGUGGAGAAAAGCUUUCCUUGUACUAUUUUUAUCCUAAAGAGUUUUAUAUUGGAUCUUUGUAAAGCUAUUGUAUCUCUAAAGAAGAAAGAGAUCCUAGAAAGCAGUUGUUAUAGUUCACAAGAAAAUUAUGAAGAAGAAAAAAUAAAUUCAAUCGGAAUUACAUGUUAAUACUGCUGAUUUCCUAUUUAGAUGACGUCAUUUUUCCAGUCCUAAAGUGAUUUGAUCCAUGGGCAAAACAACUCCGUAAGAACUGGGAUUUGUAAAGAAUGUCUUAUAGACAUUUUUUAGAACAAGCCAACUGAUGGCAUUUUAGUGUACUGCAUUAUACUUGCAGCGUGAUUACAUAUAUUAUGGAAAGAGAUUUUGUAUUGUGUAGUGAAUGUGCCUUCAAUAAAUAGAUUGCUUGGUGCUACUGUUGGUGAAUCUUAAAUUUUGAUCUUUAAUAUCAAAGGUUUCAUAAGAGCUAAACAUGUGCAGAAGGGAUUUGCCCAACUAUGGAGAGGCACUUAUGCAAGUUUAGCAUUGUCUGUGCCAACAGUAAGUCUCUCCUGUUCAUAAAUUGCUUGUGUUUCUUCAAAUAUUUCAUCCCAUACAUCAGUGUGGCAUUGAAUUGUUUUGCAUUCUGAUGAUUAUCUUUUUUUUCUGUUAAUUACUCUUUUCAGGUAGGAAUUUACCUUCAUUGUUAUGACAGUUUUCGCAAUUUGAUGGAAAAUUUCACUACUGGCAAUGCUCCAAUGUUGACACCAUAUGUCCCCCUAGUUGCUGGGUCUGCUGCACGUUGAUUAGCAUGUAUUAGUUGCUACCCCAUCGAAUUGGCAAGGACACGGAUGCAGGUAUAUUUAUAUAUUUUUCUUGUAUCUUAUCCAAUAUGACCAUGAAUUACAAGAUUGUAGCUGACUUGUCUACUUGAUUUUGAUGUCUUAUUGAUGUCUGCUUGAUUUUGACCUUAAAAAGAUGGCCAAUAAUGAACAUCUGCAUAAAGCUUUUUCAUUCUUUGAUCGAAAUCAAGUGGUUUCAUAGAGAUUGAAGAGCUGCGAAAUGCCUUAAAUGAUGAAGUUGACACCAGUAGUGAAGAUGUUAUCAAUGCCAUUAUGCAUGAUGUUGAUACGGACAAGGUUAGUGUCCCGUAUAUGAAUUCAAAAGUUCAUGUUCUGUGAAAGUGACUCUUAACCCAACCGAGCAAAUUGUCAAAUUGACAAUAUUUUUUCUCAAUGUCCGCAAGAACUAUACUUUUUUUGCUAAUUAAGACCUAAAAUUUGUUGAAACUCAUCUCUCAAUACCUCAAUUGAAGUACUCUAUUUUCUUUUUUCCCCCCCAAGCGUCAGACUCACUAGUUAUUUGGCUUUUUAUGAGUUUAAUAUUAAAUUGUCAAAUUGGUUGCCUCAAAAUUGAUUGAUACUUUCAGUUUCUCCUGUAAAUUGUAAGCUUUUUAUGAGUUUAAUAUAUUCAUUUCGCUUUUAUGUUUUAGUGUUGUAGUUCUAAACAAUGUAAUAAAUUUUCAGAUUAUUCAAUGUAUUGCCACUGGAAGAGAGUUGCUUCUGAAAGUCUUGUUGUUGGAAUAUUUCCAUUAAUCUUUGGAAGUUUUGUUGGGGAACUUGGCUCGGUGGCCGGAAUUUGAAUUACUUUUCUUGGAGUUUAAUUGGAAUUUAACUAUUCUUUUAUAUUUUGGCAUUCUUUUUUUUAAUUUGGGAUGUUUUAUUAUGUAUUGGUGGUAAUGACAUUGAACACUAUAUAUAUUUAUUUUGAAAUUAAUUUGUUGGAUUGAAUGGAUGUUAAUUAAUAUUAUUUUUUUAUUAUUUUUUUGACAAUAUUUAUUUUUAUUAAUUAAUUAAAUUUGUAAACAAGAAUUCACAAAUAAAUUAUAAUCACAAUAUAAUUUUUUUUAAAAAAAUUUACUUUAUGACGGAAAAUACACAUCAUAAAGUCUAUCAUAAAAAAUUUUCCACCAAAAUUGAAUAAUAAAUUUACAAAUGACAAUUUAAUUUCCCGCUAAAAACUUAAAAAAAUAGAGUGAAAAUUUAAAUAAAUUUAAAUUUAAUUUAAUUAUUUUUUCUCAUUAAAAUAUUGUGUGAUGGAUAUAUGACUAUAAACUACCAUCAAGAAUUCAUGACGGAAAAUAUUCUGUCAUAAAUUAAUGACAGUGACAUAGAUGAUGGAUGAACUGUCUGUCAUGCACCACCUUUUAUGACGGUUAUUUUCCGUCAUCUAUUGCCUAUUUUCUUGUAGUGAAUUAAUUUUAUACUUAAUACAGUUCAUGUAUAUCCUCAUAUAUAUCAUAAAAAUUCAAAUUAUUCUCAUCAAUUGGAAAAUAAAAUUGUUAACUUUAAAGAGAUCAUCAUCAUCAUUAUCAUCAAUUAUAUUGAGAUAACAAAAUAAAAAUGAAAUUAAUAAUAUAAAAUAUUUAUUUUAUUUAUUAAUUAUUAUAUAUGCACAAUCAAAUAUAUUUUAUAUACGUUUUUAUAAAUGUGUAAAUAAAUUUAUUUAACAUUAUGUCCAAUUUAAUUUUCUAUAUUCUUGCAGUAGUUUAAAGUAUGAUUUACCAAACACAUACGACUGCUUUUAAAACUCUCAGAACUUUUAAACAGAUUUUACUAAAUAUUUAAUUAAUUCUCUUAACAGUUGAUUAUUUUUAUGGCAUAACUAACAACAAUUAUUUUAAAAGAUACAAUAUGACUAAACUAGCCCAAACUUCUAGUAUCAACUCGAUUUCGACGCAAUAAACCAUGAAGGACUACCUAAUAUUUCAGGUUUAUGACAAUAAACAUAUUUAAUGAACCGAUUAUUUAUGUUACUAUAUAAUACAUAUGCUCUGCAAUUCCCUUUUUUUUUUUCUCUUCAUGUUAUAAUAAUAUGGAAACAACAAAUUUAAUGAACCAAUUCUUUAUGUUACUAUGUAAUAUAUUUGCUCUGCAAUUCGUUUUUUUUUUUUUUUUUAAUGUUAUAAUAACAUGGAAUCAACAAACUUUAUUAAAGCAGCUGGCAAUACGUGAGAACUAUGAAACUAAGGGGGUAGAGAAUAAAAUUUACCUAGAUAAAUGUCAUUUUCAAAGCUUGAGGUCCAGGACCUCCAAAAUUCCAGUCCUCUGUACAUGUAUUGCUCAUGGAGAUAUCAAUUAUCAGUAUAUAAUUUGAAUUAUUCUUGUGAAUUAGAGUUAAAAAUUAUUCCUGUUAAUUACAUGUUACAUGUUACAUAUUCAUAUUCAUUUUGGGUUUUACUCCAAAAUGGGACAAGCUCAGUUGAUAGACAUCCCAAGUCUUAUAAAAUCUGAGGUAAAUAAUAUAUAUAUAUUUUUUUUGCUUGUCAUUCAAUAUGUUAAACACAUGUACUUUCUCUUUUUCUUGUUUGUCUAUUGAAGUCUUACAAAACUAAAUUAACUAUUUUAUCCUAAGGCUUUAUAUUUCAAUUCUUAUAUUUUUUUUUUACCCCAUGGCUUUAGUUUAAUAUUUGUCGAGGUCUUGCCCAUAGCUGCCAUAGCUCAAUCUCGAAAGGACAAGAUGAUGAAGGUGUUGAAGAAUUCAAAAUUGGAAUUCAAAUACAUGCAUUCAAAAUUGGAAUUCAAAUACAUGCAUUCAAAAUUGGUUAAUGCAUUAAUUGACCAACUUGCAUACACAUGCGUGCAUUCAACAUUGGAGAGGCAUAUUUGAAGAUAAAUUGCUAAGGUAGGUAGCUAAUUUUUGUUGACAAAAUUGUUGGGGUUGAUGCAAUAGUGCAUCCCAUUUUUGCUAUAAAUAGAAGGCAAGUCUUCAUUUGUUUGGCAUCCAAAUUUGUGAGAUUUCCAAGUGAGUUUUGGUAGAGAAUUUCCUUAGGUGUUAAGGGAAUUUGGGUGUAUUGGAUAUUGGUUUUUUAGAGUUUUUCCAUUUUUGUAAAGUUCCAUUAUUAGUGAAAUUAUCUUCCAGUCUUUGCUCAUAAACGUAGGCUUUACGUUGAACCACGUAAAAUUUAUUGUCUUUUUCUUUGUAUUUGUUUACACCACAUUUAUAUUUCUCCAGAAGUUACACUCACUGUAAUAUUGGUAAUUGCUCAACUCGCGCUUCCGCAACAGAAUGUAGAAAACUAAGGAAAGUGGAUUAGGAGAAAAUAACUAUAAUAAUAAUAGUGAGUGAAAGAGAAGACUUGGGUUUGUUUAUGGAAAUUUACUAUUUUACUUUUCUAAUUUAAAAAAUUGAUUUUGUAAAACAAUUUUCAUUUGUCUCAAGAAUUUCGAAAAAUUAAAAAAAAAUGAUCUGAAUUCAAAUUGAUAAAAAACAACCACCUCCGUACAUAGUAAAAUACAAAGUUGAGGCUAAAUCACAGUAUUUAAACUACGGUGUACGGGUGUAAUAUUGAAUUAUAUUUGUAAAGUAGCGGAUUUUCUAUUUCCGCCACUAUAGUAGGAUAGCCAGACUUAAUAGCUAUUGGAGGUAAAUUUAAUUUACUUAGGUGAACUUGAUUUUCCUGAAAUAUUUUUAUUUAAUUUUAGAUUAGCAUACACAUUAAAAAUAAUUUUGGUGAAGAUAAUAUAAGAACCUAUUUUUUCAUUUUAUUUAAAGCCAAUUUAAAAAAUUUUCUAUUAGGGAAAAUAAAAUUUGUAAUUGAAGAUUUUCUUAAAAAAAAAAAAAAAGACUAGCAGGUCAAUAUGUGCGCUAGCGCUAUUGCCGCACCAGCUACGCAUCGGACCCAGCUGUGGACUUUCCAAUUCAUCUAGCCUCAUGUUUCUGUCUAGCUCGACUCUAGUGACGGGUAAAGAAAAAAUUUGAAAAAAGAAAAAAGAAAAUGGAUCCCACGGUGUUGCGGAAGUAUGGGUUCAGCAAUUACCAAUAUUCCAGUGACUGUAAUUUUUGGAGAAAUAUAAAUGUGAUGUAAACAAAUGCAAAGAAAAUGUCACAAUAAUUUACUUGGUUCAGCGUAAUGCCUACGUCCAUCGACAAAGACUGGAAGAUAAUUUUACUAAUAAUGAGACUUUACAAAAGUAGAAAAACUCGUAAAACCCAAUACCCAAUACACCCAAAUUCCCUUAGCACCUAAAAAAUUUCUAUACCAAAACUCACUUGGAUCUCACAAAUUUUGGAUGCACUAACAAAUGAGGAAUUGCCUUCUAUUUAUAAGGAAAAAUGGGGUGCACUAUUGCACCAACCCCAACAAAAUUGUCAACAAAAAUUCGGUGCCUACCUUAGCAAUUGGUCUUCAAAUUUGCCUCUCCAAUGCUGAAAGCAUGCAUGUGUAUGCAAGAUGGCCAAUUGAUGCAUUAGCCAAAUUUGAAUGCUUGUAUUUGAAUUCCAAUCUUGAAUUUUUCAACACACAGGUCUCGUAUCGAGUUCUCUCAAAUAUUGGGAGUUGAUACUUAUUUGCCCCUGCUCCACGUUACAGUGAAAAUGGAAUGUAGCGAUAUGCAUCUUUAAUAGUUGCAAAUUCAGGAAUUUUUGCUUUCUAUUUACGUCCGCCAUGAACUCGAUGAUUUGAUAGCGGUAAUUAAAAAGGUUACAAGCAGAGCAUAAAUAGGAAUAACGCUCUUCGUUUAUGAUAAUACAAUGAAGAUAGAGCCACAAAUUCAUAUAAAUUUAUUAUAUAUAAACUGAAUUAAAUGACUCUUGAUUUUUGCGUUAGUUGUUUGAAUAUUUUAUUUCUCGCAUACAAAUAUUACCGAACCGAGCUGAAGUCUUCUGAUUUCCGCUUUUCCGCCGUUAUCGGCUCAAUUAAAUUACAGGCGUGCACGAAACGAUUUUGAAAUUUUUGAGCCAUUUCAGCCCAAAACGACCGUCGGGCCAGUCAACAAAAGCAGUCAAAGACAGUGGGAUUCGGAGUUGUUCCAUAUCAUUGGCUCCAAACAACCUAAAAAUGUACGGCGUGGGGCCCAGGAUUGCCUGCCGGAGUAGACUGUUGUUUAGGGGCUUCUAUCAUUCGUCUCCGAUGGUCUAAUCCUUCUUUCUUACUUUGAUGAACUAAACUUCCUGUCGCAUAUAAUUAGAAGUUCGAAGCAAAGACUAAUUAAUAAAUAAAACUACUAUAUAAAUGAUUAAAUGGUGAUUAGUAUUUACAAGAAGUUAAUUGAAGUUGCGAAGAUUGAUCUGCACCUUGGAUGGCUGAGAAAUUUUGAAUUCUGGCUUCUAUAAGCAAGGGACAUGAACAGACUGACAAAACUAUAUAGGCAACAAGCAAAGUGGAGACAGCCGCAUUUAUUCUUCCAUGGCACCUCGACAUAAUUAUUAUUCCAAUAAGAAAUGGAGAAAGUAUUUGGUUGCAGCUAAAACAAUUAAACUACCUAUCCUUUUAUACAAUCACUGAGAAGGAAGGAAAAUCAGAAGUCAAGCUUCGAAUUAAUUGUACUCGGAAUUGGAAAUGUUCAAGCUUUGAAAUUGAAGUUGUCAAAGGAGCAUUUAGAUAUUAGGAAUAACGAAAACUAUUGCAUUCAUAUUGAAAGUGGAAGUGAUACUUUUUUUUCUUUCUCUAAUAUGUAGGUUUAUACAAUUAAUUUAUUCAUGUCAUAUCAUUUUAUAUACAUUUAUUUAUGUCAUUACUCAUCAAACAUACACUACUAGUACGGGCACAUAUAUAGACAAAUUAGUAUGUAUACGAAAAAAUCUCAAGUAAAACGAUUUUCGAUAGAAUUAAUUAAAAUAUAUACUAAAUUAAUAUUAAUUCAUUAAUUUCAAUCAUUUCAGUAGAGAAAUAAUAAUAUUCAACAAAGAGGAGGUAGAGAAAUCAUCCUGGUUAAUGCGGUGGGUCCUAUCUAGUUAGAAGCGUAUGAUCACUGUAGAUACCGAUCUUUUGCGGCCAUUUCAGAUAAAUGUUGCCGAAGGCAAGCUUUUUAAAGAAAAUAAUUAAGGGAAUUUGAGGUUUAUUUAUUUAUUUAUUUUUAAAUCAAGCAUCAUUUGAGGUUUAUUUAUUUUUUAAAAGAAAAUAAUUAAGGAAAUUAGGAAUUAAUUAGAUCGAAUCUCUUACCAAUAAUUAUAAAAAUGUAAAAGGCUCUUGCCGAUAACAUCAAUUUCAGAGCCUAAAACAUAAAAGGCCAGCAAGUUUGAAAAGGUUGCUUUGCUUCCAUGGCCGAUUGUUGAAAUUGCUUUUUUGAUACAUUUUGCAUGCUUUUAACAAGAGAAAAAUAAGAAAAGAAACUUAGAGAGGUUGAGCAAUUAGCAACAGACAAAAUGCUGAGCAAUUAUGCUUUUCCAAAUCUAGCAAGAUGUUUUCCUUUACAGCUUCACUUGUCUUGGUGAAAUAGCUUAUCUGAAACUAUAUUAAUAUUCAGUUUUGAGCAGGCAGAGAAGAUAAUAUGCCCAGCUUAGACUAAACUUAACGAAAAUGAAUCGAUUCUUGUAGUUUCAAAUGAUGGGUCAUACGCAAUGAUGCAAGUGAAAAUAAGGAUAAAUUUGGAAUUACAUGGUGUGUGUUGACAAAGAUAAGUUAUUUUUACCUUUUUAAAGGUUUUAUUAAGAAAUAGGGUCUAGUGAGAUAAAAUAGAGUUAAAUAUUACCAUUCAUUAAUUAUUUCCCAAGAUUUUCUUUAAACAAGAUCCAAAAGCUUACCUUGGGCCUGCAAAGAUAAAAUCAUGAGAGGUGAUAUUUGAUCUCUUCAAUCUAUUUAUUAAUUCUCACUUUCAAAUUUAUCCAUCGCCGUUAUUAAACCCCCGGUUGUCAAUGAUAAAAGGUCUAUUCCAAGUUUCCCAUUUCGUUUGCUAAUGCAUUCCCAGACCAUGCAACUGAAAUCAAGGACAUAGUUUUGUGAAUAGAACCUGCAAUGGAUUUUAUUGUUAGGCAACUUUCUAAAGAUGGAAAAUUGUCUCUUACUUUGGAAGCUUGUUUUCUGGCUAAAUUUUCUUUUCAUGUCCGGAAAAUUGUUUAUCUGGUAUUGUAUUUCGGACCCCGGGCAAUUUGGAAUUUCUUCGUGGAGCUGUCCUUUAUCCUGCAUUAUUCCACCAUUCUUUACAUCUCUGGAGGUUCGCAUGCUUUAUAGACCUUUAUAAUAUCUAGAAGUGCAAAUUUUUAUUGUGAUCAUUUGAGGAUACAUGUAAAAUACAUGCUGAUUGGUGGUGGUGAUAGACUAGGUUUAACCGUUUAAUUAUGAUGCUGAGAGCGCAGAUGAGAGAGGGUAAAAAUACAUUUAUCGUUUUCCACGUCACUGACUUAGAUUUACAUAUGCAUGUUGCAUUCAAUCAAAGUUUAAUUUGCAGAACAAUGCUGUUUGGCUACUGAGAAAGUUGAAAAGAAAGUGUUGACUUGAAAGAGAGAAUUUGAUGAGCUUAACGUAUAUUUCAUACUUCUUGAAUCUGAUUUUACUUGCCGAUUUAUACAAACAUCCGGAACUUUCUAUACACACAAAUGGCAUGCGCUUGAAUUAAGCUUAAGUAAACAAACUGUCUAACAGAAUGAGAAAUAUAGCUCUGCUUAAUUCUAACUAACUUGCUGACUCAGCAGCCACAUCAUCAAAGUUUGUUAUUCUGAGCUAACGUAGAGCUGAUGCGAAUGCUGAGCUACUGCUGACUCUGAGCUGACGUUGAGCUGAUGCUAAUGCUGACUCUGCUGACUCUUAUAUUCUUAACACAUUCAAUCAACCUGCACUUUGAAAUAACACAUUGACACCGCAACUUCUAGGAAAUUUCUCGCAUUAAUUCCAAACUCAUCGUUUUUUCCGCAGCUUACUUUUCUUUUUUCUUUUCCCUAUGCCUGUCUCCUCAGUAAUUUGAAAGAGAAAUUCUAAGCAAAAACAAACAAAAUUCAAGUUGCAUGAAAAGCGUUUUGAAUGAUAUGUGUAUAUGUCCAUAUCCCGAAUUCACACGAUUUUGACCCACCAAGAAGAAAACACAUGUACCACACAUACUUUAAUGAUACAAUAAAUUAAAAUGGUUGAAACUGCAAAGUGAGGGGUGGUCAGAGCUGGGGCAUUUAUUCGUCAUUUGUUUAAUGAACCAAAGGGAGAUCGUGAAGAAGCAAGAAGACAAUGUAGAGAUGAAAGCAUAUACUUCUGACUAAGGUUACAGUUCUUUCACAUUCUUGACUUACAUGUUGCAUUCAUUCAAAGUCCCGGUACCAGCUCCAUUUAAACGCAAUGACCUAUGACGUACCAUCCAAUAUUUCAGUAUUAUGACAAUAAACAUGUUUUAAUAAACCAUUUAUUAAUGUUACCAUAUAUUAUGUAUGCUCUGCAAUUUUUUUUUUUUUUUAAGUUAUAAUAGUAUGGAAACAACAAAUCGCAUUCCAUCAACGCAUGUAUACCAGUAAGUAAUGGCUCUUUCAAAUCUGCUGGGUGUUCUGGUCACUGCGUAUGGUGAAACCAGAAUUUUCAUUCGAUGGGGGCGUAUGGAAGCAACAAACUUUAUUAACGCAGCUGGCAAUAUGUGCGAACUAUGAAACUGAGGGGUAAAGAAUAAAAUUACCUAGAUAAAGGUCAUUUUUAAAGUUUGGGGUCCAGGACUUCCCCUAAUUCCACUCCUCUGUACAUGUAUUGGUCAUGGAGCGAGAUAUUAAUUAUUAGCAUAUAAUUUAAAUUAUUCUUAUGGAUUGGAGUUUAGAAUUUAUCCUUUAGGGGCUUGAUAGUUUCUUUGGCUGGCUAGUUGAGUUUGAAUCCUUAAGAGACAGGGGCUGAAAAUUUGAUUGAGCUUUACCCAACAUCUUACUUGUUUAUUUAUUUAUUUAAAAAAAAAAAGGUACCCAAAGUUCUAACAAUGAAAAUGUGUUCCAUCAUGAUCAAAAUCAAAUGGUGUUGAUGCUCUUUCUGAUCAUUGAGCAGACAAGUGGACACUUAGUCGUUUAAUUGAUAAAUCCAUUCUUACAUAAGUAGUUUAUGGUUUAAACUGCUCGUGUAAAUGAAAAUAGUUUAUUUUUCAUAAAAAUAGUUUUUUUUUUUCAUUUAUCUGCUACAUUAUAAAUUAUUAAGUAGACAUAAAAAAAAUAGAAAUGCAUAAAUUCUCAAAGAAAAAUGUGAAACUGGGGCAUAUAUACUUCUGAGGAAGGGAAAUUGACCAACCAGUUAUUCGGCAAAAUUAAUGAUUUUUCCAAAAACUGAAAACCCACUACAACACCCUCAUAAUUGUAAUGUUAAUCAGUACACUUUUUGAAGGUCAAGCAAUUCGAUCUUUUUAUGAUCAAUGAUUGUCGAAAAUGUUGAAGAUAUUAUCAUGUUAGUUACUGGGUUAAUAAUAUAAGUUUUAGACAAUGUUUAACUCUUGAACUAGCUUUUAGGUAUAAAUUAAGUCUAGGAGCUUUAUUGAAAAAAUGCAUACAUUUUGAUGCUAAAUUUGCUGGGAAAGGGAGCUGCAAAUUAAGCGGAAAUAAAAUUCUCUCUUUUUGUGUGAUUAAAAUAGGAUGUGCAUCAUGAAUAAAUAGGCAGAAAAAUAAAACAAUAAGUCCAAAAUAAUAAAAUCAAACUCAAGAGACAGAUUUUUACGUGGAAAAACCAAAGCGGGAAAAACCACGAGACUAUUGUCCGAUAUAAUCUUCCACUAUAUUAAUGGGAUUACGGCACAAUUUCUUCUCUAGAUAAUACUAGAGACUAGUAAUAAUAAGAAUAUCAAUAUUCUAGACUUACAGUAACAACCUAAUAAUCGUCUCUCUAAUAAGUGGGUAUCUCAAAUAAUAGCCAAUAAGAGGAUAAAAUAAAAAUCUAAGACUAGUAAGAUUAUAGAGGGCGAUGCCAAGAACUUACCUUCAAAAUUUGAGAGAAAAUGAAGUUAAUUUUACCUUUUGAUCAUCCAAUCAAAAAUUAAAAAUUUUAUCCCCAAAUUGUAAUAGCCUCUAUUUUCCCAUCGUCUUUUUGCGAUCUGACAAAUUACGGCUACCGCUUGCUUUUAGAAAAAUUUUCAUCUAACUCCAAAACUUAAUAUUAAUUGCACAUUAAGUAAAUCUUUUUGGACUUUAGACUUUUAAACCCAAAUGAGAUGGACCCAGCAAAAUUGAAUAUAAUGUCGGAAAAAAAAAAUCAGUUUUUUAAAAUUUUUAUAAAAUUUUUUAGGACCGAUCUCAUACAAUAUAUAAGAAUUCGUAAUCUAGAAAAUCAUAUCUUGACAAUCCGAUUCUGCUUUUUUGCUGGAUUAAUUUAGGCUCUCAGAUCACGAUCCGUCACCACCACUCUUGUUAGAUCACGAUCUGUCACCACCAAUCUUAUUAGAUAACGAUCCAUCACCAAUGAUCUUCUAGGUUAUGACUCAGGUCUGAUCUGCACUUGAUGUGUGGGCGUCUUUAUCACCAUUAGAAGCAACCAGCAAGAAAAAAUAUUCCUCUCAAUAUUAGAGAGAAAAAAUAUUUUUCUCUGAUAUGUAUAAUGUGGCUCUCUCUUCUUUUUGAGAAAACAAACCCUUUUAUAUCUUUUUUUGGUUUAAACCCUAAACUCCAUAUUUUUAUAUUUUUUAAUUUUAUUAAAUCAAAUUUGAUUUAAAUUAAAAAAUAAUAAAACCAAAAGUGACAUUGCUUCUCCUUGUUAUAAGGGCACACCUUGUAAAAUAACACAAUACUCCUUAUACACAAACAUAUUUUAUGGAGCCUCCCACUAGAUAAUAUAUUUAGACUUUUAACCCAAAUAUGUAGUUAUUUUUUUUUAUUAAUUCAGUAGCGGCGCAGUCAAUUAAAUGAGCUAACCUGGGGAUCAUUUGGGUACAUACAAUAGUGGCUACAAUAAUUAAGUCUGUAAUUAAACUAGCCCAGUUAUUUAAUUCCAGAUCUACUCCACUAAAAGAUCGGAACUGACCUCUAUAAUUGUAUGCUAUCCAGGAUAGUAUUUUCGAAUAAUAAUUCGACCCAUGCCACAUUGAUUUCUUUACUACAUAAUUCUUUAUACCACAUCGUCAAUUAAAUCGAUAUCUCAAUUGUCCAAUCAAUUUAAUUACAUCUUAUUUCUUGAUACUUAUUUGUUUUCUUUAAUGAUCAUUUUCAACAUACUAAAUAUGUUGGCACACUCUGGCUAGAGAAUUCUAUGAUCAAGUGCCGAAAACCUAUUAAGAGAUGUGUUGUACAAAUUAUAUAUUGUUAAUCUAUAACUCCAAUACUCAUAAUUGCUCCCACCAAGAUACCGGGUAAUCUUGACUACAAUUGUAUGUCGUGCCUAUUGGUAACUCAAAUGGAAUAACAAUUACAAUCAUGAAAUCAUAACUAACUCAAGAUUAAGAUUACACUAUGCCUAUGAGAUUUAAUAAGUCUGACAAUUAUUCCAAAAUUAAUUAAAUCUCAUAUGUGAUCAUGUUCAAUGUAGUCGUAGUAUAUCAAUAAAUUCAUACAUAAUUAAUACAAAUCAUUCAAUAAAUUUAUUACAGUCUAUACCUAAAUAAAGUGCUCAAUUUUAUUUAUUAAAUGCGAACUUAAUUUAUUUAAUCAUAAGAUAACUUGUAUUUAUGUCUUCUGUGAAUCCAUUUGGUGUUCACAUAAAUACAUAUAAUAUGAUUAAAUGGAUUUUACUCAAAAUAUUAAUGCAAUUAAGAUACUUGAAUAAAAUACCUUAUUUAUUUUAUUAAUCAAAAAAAUUAUUUAUUACAAUUAAAUAAACACACGCUUUAAAGAGCAUAUUUUCCGAACAUAUAAUCCUAUUAACCUUAGGGGAGUUCUGAAUUUUGCCAAGAUAUAGAUUUGGUUGUUGAGAAAAGAGAAAUCCUUGCUUAAUAUCAAGAAAAAGCACCACUUCACGGUAAUUAAUACAAACGCUGAAUAUAAAACAUGAACUACGCAUUCUAAGGAAUUUUCCCAUUUUGUACCAUCAACAAUAAAAUCAAGCCUCUGUAUAGAGAUUCAUUCUUUAUAUUUGCUUGAGGAGUCCUAUUUCCUCAUCGUCAAACAAUUAAUUUGCACAGGAUUUGUGAUUACAAACAAUGAAACAAACAUCCUGUAAAGUCUUUUGGGUCCAGCUUUUUUCGUGUUUUACCAUUCAAUUAAUUAAAUGACACCCACGAUUUUAACUUUGAACUGAUAAUAAAAAUCUUAUCAUAUUGAAAAUCUGGUCACAUGCAAAUUAAAUUCACAGGGAAAAAAAAAAAGCACUUAUUGAGAGUCAAAGCCAUUGACUAUUGGAAGGCAAUUGCCGUGACAGUUGGACUAUAAACGUAAUUAACAGACACUAAGGUGGCUUUUGGUUGGGAGGAGAGAAUAGAAGAGAGGAAAAUAAUUUAAAAUCUUUUUUAUUUCUAGUAUUUAGUUUAACAAAAUAUAGAAUAAUUUAAUUUCCACUAGAAUUUAAUAUUUAUCAUAAUGUAGAAUUUGAAUUUCACACUAAGUAGAGAAGAAUUUAAAUUUCUCUUAUGUUAGAAACUAAAAUUUCCAAAAUUACCCAUCAACUUUUUAACUUGUUUAGUGCCAUUAAUAAUUAUUAUUUAUAAUUUUAUUUUUUAUUGAUUUAAUAUUAUAAAUGGACCUCCACUGGAUGUCACGGGACUUCGCCGAAAAGUCGCCAGACCUUCGCCGCCGACCACCAGACCACCAUUUUAAUAUAUAUAUAUAUAUAUAUUAUUAAUAUAAAUAGUUUAAUAUUUUUUAAGGUAAAAGAUAAAUUUGUCUAAAGAAAAAUAAUUAUAAUUCUUUUCCUUAUCAAAUUUUAUAUCAAACCAAACAACAAAAUCUAAUUUCACUACUCUUCUCCAUUCAUUUAUUCUCUCUUCCUCUCCAUUCCACUCUUUUCCUCUCCUCCCUUUUCUUCAAACCAAACAUAGCCUAAAAGUUGCUUGACUUAAAAUACCUAAACUACUCAUUUCAUAAAUGUAUGUAUUGAAACCAUUUUAAUUAGUUUGAUUUUAAGCGUCUACAAUCAAUCUGAAAUAUCAAGUCAUCGUAUGGAAGGAAUGGGAUCCAGUCAUGAAGAGGAGGAUGAUGUUGAAAAAUAAGAAAACCACUUGCAUUUUGCUAACAAAUGUCAAGGUUAGCCGAAAUGUUGGAUUUAAAUUUGGAGAAAUUUUCAAGAUUGGCCAAAGAAAUACCAAACUCCUUGACAUAUUUGCAUGGGUUAGGUGGAAUAGUGUUUGGGUUAGGUGGAAUAGUACAAGCUUGAAUCCUAUAAAUUGAAGCAAUUUCUUCAUUCUAAAUCAUCCCAAAAUUUGUUAAGCUUAUUAGUUUUUAAGCUUUUAAGAGUUCUGAGAGUGUGAGCAAUUGGAGAGUGUUUGUGAGAGUACUGGGCGUAUUUGGGUUUUGGGAAAGUGAGAUUUCUUUACUCAAAUUUGUACUCAAAUAAUUGUUAAUAAUACAAUUAUUUUUUCUCUUGCUCCCAUGGACGUAGGCAUAUUGCCGAAUCACGUAAUUCUUGUGUCCUUUAUUUUUCUGUAAUUAUUUGGUGUGCUUGAUUCCGCAUUCCGCACACAACAAGUGGUAUCAAAGCCGACGGUUCGUACUUGGGGGAUACGGUACUGUUCACGCAUACGGUACUAUUCAUGUAUACGGUACUGUUCACAUACGGUACUGUUCACGAAUACGGUGGAGAAGACCAUUUGUACUUGGGAGACAGUCUAUUGUAAGUAGUGUGUAUUUUUGCAUGUCUAGGAAAAUUUUGUCAACAAAGGCGAUAAGAGUCUAAGGAUUCUGGUUUUUAAUUGGGACCGAGUUCCCGUCCAGUCUCCUGGGAACUUUCCUGAUACAUUUAUUCACGCGAAAUUAACAUCAUAGAGACUGUUUUUCAAGUGGAAAUAGUUUGUUGAGAAAAUGGUAGAAGGUGAAACUUCCAGAAUUGGGGAGAGAUCUACCGAGACUAUUUCAGGAGACACUUCAGGUGGGAGGCGAGAUUUGUCAAAUCGCUAUUCAACACCUGUUAUAGGAGGCCAGAAAAUCGAUGUUGAAAAGUUUGAUGGGAAAAUCAACUUCGGCAUGUGGAGGCACGAAGUUAUGGAUGCCCUUAUUCAAAUCGAUCUCGAUGUUGUUCUGAAAAAUAAAAGACACUUGUAUGAUGAAGAAAUUUGGGAUCGUAUGAAUGAAAAAGCAUGUGGUCAGAUUAGAUCUUGUUUGACCAAGGAGGUGAAAUACUUGGUGAAGGAUAAGGAGUGUGCGAUGACUUUGUGGCGUACAUUGGAGGAGAAGUACUUGCUAAAAAGUCCUGAAAAUCGCCUUCAUGCAAUGAGCCAAGUAUAUGGCUUUCGAAUGAAGCCUGAGGUGUCAAUGCACGAUCAUGUCUCAAGAUUUGAAAAGUUACUUGCUGAUUUGAAGAAUCUUGAUGAAGAUAUUAAGGAUAAAGUCAAGGCUAUGAUUCUGUUACACUCACUACCAGAGGAAUAUAGUCAUUUUGUGACUACCUUGAUAUAUGGGAAAAACGUGAUCAUCUUCAAAGAUGUUUGCAUAACAUUGACUAACUUGGAGAUUCGGAAUAAUAAUAAAAAUUCAGAACGAGCAUCGUCUGAAGCUUUGGUGAGCAAAGAUUGGGCGAUGGAGAAAAAGAAAAAGCGUGGUGGAAAGAAUUCUCGAUCCAAAUCGAGAAGCAGAAAUAUAGCUCGAGACGAGUGUGCCUUUUGUCAUGAAAAGUGCCAUUGGAGGAAAGAUUGUCCAAAGGCUCAAAAGAGAGAUGGGAAGAAACCAGCAGCAGCAAACAUGGCACGAAAAGAUGAAGACUCUGAUUAUUCACUAAGUAUUACUCCUGCAGCAUAUGUGGCUAGUUCGAGCGAGUGGAUACUUGAUACUGGAGCAACCUAUCAUUUGUGUCCCAUUAAGGAAUGAUUUACGGAUUUCAGUGAAUUAGAAUCUGGUACAGAUUUCAUGAAAAGUGCCAUUGGAGGAAAGAUUGUCCAAAGGCUCAAAAGAGAGAUGGGAAGAAACCAGCAGCAGCAAUCAUGGCACGAAAAGAUGAAGACUCUGAUUAUUCACUAAGUAUUACUCCUGCAGCAUAUGUGGCUAGUUCGAGCGAGUGGAUACUUGAUACUGGAGCAACCUAUCAUUUGUGUCCCAUUAAGGAAUGAUUUACGGAUUUCAGUGAAUUAGAAUCUGGUACAGAUUUCAUGAAAAGUGCCAUUGGAGGAAAGAUUGUCCAAAGGCUCAAAAGAGAGAUGGGAAGAAACCAGCAGCAGCAAACAUGGCACGAAAAGAUGAAGACUCUGAUUAUUCACUAAGUAUUACUCCUGCAGCAUAUGUGGCUAGUUCGAGUGAGUGGAUACUUGAUACUGGAGCAACCUAUCAUUUGUGUCCCAUUAAGGAAUGGUUUACGAAUUUCAGUGAAUUGGAAUAUGGUACAGUUAUGAUGGGGAAUAAUCAACCUUGUCGCACAAUGGGGAUAGGAACAAUUCGACUCAAAAUGUUUGAUGGAAUGAUUAGAAAACUCAAAGAAGUUAGAUUUGUUCCAGCUUUAAAGAAAAAUCUAAUUUCUGUGGGUGCUUUGGAAGCUAAAGGCUACAAGGUUACCAUUAGAGAUGGCACAAUGAAGUUUACACAUGGGGUUAUGGUGAUUUUACAAGGGGUUCGGCGUCACAAUCUGUACUAUUUGAAAGGAGGUACAACUGAUGAAGCAAAUGUUGUUGAGGCCCACAGUGACACCACCAAGCUAUGGCAUGUACGAUUAGGACAUGCUGGCGAGAAGUCUUUGCAAACUUUGAUGGGCACGGACUCUUAAAAGGUACCAAAGCCUGUAAAUUAAAUUUCUGUGAGCAUUGUGUAGUAGGCAAGAAAACAAUGGUCAAGUUUGGUACAGCUAAUCACGAUACUCGUGAGAUCCUUGAAUAUGUUCAUAGUGAUGUAUGGGGAUCAACCAAGACUGCAUCAAUUAGUGGAAGUCAUUAUUUUUUUACAUUUGUAAGGACUGUUCAUCACCAAUAUCAGCAAGAACAACGUUUAGAUCACAGAAAAAUCAAAUCAAAUCAAAAGAAUAUAAUAUAAGAAAAAGAGGAAGUAAAGACCUAGCUGAACUUGAGCGUGUUGUUCAUCGGCAAGUAGUAGCAGCAGCAGAUCGAAGAGUAAGGACGAAGACGAAGAGUAGAAAUUUGUUGUCGGCAAGCAGCGCAGCAGAGGACCAAAUUUUUUGUCGGCAGCGUGAUUUUGUUUUUGUGUGUGAUUUGGAAAUUAGGGUUUGCCAUUUGAAGUCAAAGGAGAGUCUACCACUUACAAUUUUUUUUUUCAAGAUACAGUGUCGUUCUAUGCC